ACCUGUCAGACAACCCAUGAGCCACCCCAGCCAGGUUAGACUAGGAACGAUCCUCUACAGCACCGGAACAGGCAUCAGAGCCAAAUCCUGGCCGUUAAUCACGCUCUGGCCCACAGGUCAUGGUUCAUCAACCAGGUUUAAGUGCUUGCCUCCUUAUCAAAUCAAGGAUGCAACGGUACGAUCCUAUAGAACAGAUCCUGUUCAAGUAAGGUCGUGCUGCCAAACUCCAGAGCUAACCUUUUAAAUUUGCGUUCGCUCGUAUGAGCAAGCGAGGUGGUGCUAAUCGGGUGCGGGACUAGCCAGCAAUCCCAGCAGAUCGCGUACUGGGCCGCUCCAUUCCUGGUAUAUUGUUGCUCUCCUGUGUGUGGGCUUCAGGUCGAGAGCCUGCACCAGCUUUAUCUUGUUGAUGCCUCGCCUAAUUGUAGUUCAUUCAUUAUUUCAUUCUUCACACAGCUCAAUCAUUCGGACCUUGUCUUUAGGCCAAACAAUGACGUGCAGCAAUGACAAUGACGUGCAGUGAUUUUGCAGUUAGCCACAGAUUGGUAAUGUCGUAUUGAAUCACAAAAUAAUUGAGAUACAGACAUUUCAGUAGUAGACAACGGCACCUUAUCAGUAUCACUAAAGGCCCAUUUAUUACCAGAUAUCUUGAUGGCCAUGGCGAUGUAACUCGUUUCUGUUCUCUUUUUCCCUUUUGCAAUUGUUUUGCCAGAUGAACAUAAUAAUGAUAACAAAAAAGGGAAAAGUACAAUAUAUUAAAGUCUCUCAUAAAGGACCAAGUUUUGCCAACCGGCACUAAAGCCUGUUCGCUGUGACUUUAAUCCAUCGACUUUUAUUUUUCUACAGUAUUUUAUCUUUAUGUACUACAUCUGCAGCAGUCUUGACUUUCACCAUCUUACUAAUUGUAUGCAAGGGUACGCUUGAAUAUACUGAUGUACAGAACUGCAUAUUCAGAAGACUGCUAUAAGAAUUUGCCCGACAUAGAUCUCAGAAUAUUCAAACCAUAUAAUCCGCACCAUCAUUUCCUCUUAUGAAGGCAUCACCGUAUUUAUUCUUCAGCUGGCCAUUGACGUAUUCUUCAGUUUGCUGCAUCGCAAUGUUCAUGUAUCCAUCAAGACAAGCCAGAAUGCCCAAAGCCCCUACGCGCGCGUCUGCGUACACCGGCAUCGUCUGCAUACGACGGUAGACUGCAUGCGAGAGAGGACGCCUCCAUACAGUACGAGGAGCAGUGCAUAGCUUGUUUUGGGGCUCCGGCUCUAGCAUCCGAAUCGGCUCUAGCUCCAUAAGCCAUUGUUCGCGCGCUGUUCCGGAGGGCUCCGUUAAAGAGCGGGAGCAAGAGCCGUCCGACAGCCCUCCCAAACGGGCACUAAACCUGUACGUGCAUAGGAAAAAAAGUUUGUUAAUCAGAGCAAGACAUGAAAUCAUUGUCCUAGACUACUGCAUAACUAUAACAUGAGCCUAGUCGGUCCGUGCUUUACUUCCAUUUUGCUAUGAAACUCUAUACCUAAUGCUAAUAUAUAAGAGAGUGUCAUUCUUUUAUCUGGUACAACAGUAUAAGCUAUGCUAGCCAAGUACCGAGGUAGACAACCUAAGUGGUUGGUGAGUAGGAGAUUACUUCAUUUAUAUACGCAACUCAAGAAUUGUAGGUUACUAUUAUACCCGAUGGGUAUCAGUAACUCGUCCGAUAUCCGAUGGAUACAGACACGAGUACAAAAUUUUACCUGUGAAUAUAAUCACAGAUGAGUAUACUUAAUCCCCACGGAUAUGGUCACGGACGAAUAUUUACUUUGCCCGAUCUGAAUUUGACCUGUUGACAUCCAUACUCACACAAGGAGCGUAUAAUUGGCCCCUUGUAAAUUGAGAACAAGAAGAAAAAAACUUGCUCCAUUAAUCGCCAAAACGAUUAAGAUAUAUGUAACUUCUAUAUUGAGAGCAAUGUUGAGCAAGAAAACUGCAGUGGACAGCAACAUUUUGAUAAGUUCCAGCAUAAAAAAGAAGGAACAAUUGGAUUUAUACCAUUAAAAGAUCCAAACUUUAGAUAUAUACCAUGGACCCCACAUGUCAUUGACUCAUGUGGACCCACAUGUAAGUGAGAUAGUAAUGGUAUGGAUCCAAAGUGGUGAUCUUUUAAUGGUAUGGAUCCAAAUUUCCAAAAAAGAACCUGUCAUGAAAAAGAACUUCCAAAUCGCAAAAACAAGAUAUCUGUAACUUCUACGUUGAGAGCAAUGUUAGCAACAAAAUAAUAAACUGGUUUUUGAUAAGUUGGAGCAUACAAAAAAAGAACCUGUCAGACAACCCAUGAGCCACCCUAGCUAGGUUAGAACUGGCGAGGAACGAUCAUCUACAGCACUGGAAUAGGGCAUCAGAGCCAUUCCUGGCCGUUAAUCACGCUCUGGCCCACAGGUCAUGGUUCAUCAACCAGGUUUAAGUGCUUGCCUCCUUAUCAAUCAAGGAUGCAACGGUACGAUCCUAUAGAACAGAUCCUGUUCAAGUAAGGUCGUGGUGCCAAGCUCCAGAGCUAAGCUUUUAAAUUAGCGUUCGUUCGUCUGUGCCACCGAGGUGGUGCUAAUCGGCUGCGGGACUGGCCACUGGCCAGCAAUCCCAGCAGAUCGUGUACUGGGCCGCUCCAUUCUGGUAUAUCGUUGCUCUCCAGUGUGUGGGCUUCAGGUCGAGAGCCUGCACCAGCUUUAUCUUAUUGAUGCCUCGCCUAAUUGUAGUUCAUUCAUUCUUCACACAGCUCAAUCAUUCGUCCUCCUUGUCUUUAGGCCGAACAAGCCUAAAGUCUUACUGCCAACAAUCACAAUCAGUGCAAAAUAACAGUAGGAAGGAUGAAAAGCGUGCGUCGUCUUCUAUCAUUUAAAACUGACAACCUCGUUUUUCCGGGACGCCGAGUGGGCCGACCUGAAAUCGAUCCGGAAUGCACCAGCGCAGCUGGGCAAGCUCGGCUCGGGCUUGGCAGGCGCCGGUGCAACCUCCGGAUCAAGAAGGGCCGUUGAUGCUGCCAUUGCUGCGGUCGACCCACAGUCUCCAGGUCUGAAAGAAAUUGUUGACUGCAGGAUGUCAGUAUAAAUGAAUGGAUUCACCAAAUAUCUUUGUUACCUAUCUAUUUGUUCAUCGAAUUAUAGAGAAAUCAUGGUGUAAGACUGAAGGACCAUCGGUACUUUAGUAUUACCGGCCGCUUGGCUCACAGUUCCUUCCACACGAGCGCGAACACCAUGUCAUAUUGUGAUGCAUAAACAUUAGUUAGAACGAGUUUGGAAGCAAAGUAUUUCAAAACUAUAAUUUUUGAAUAAUCCUGUUUUAAGAUGUUAUGACACAACUGUACUAUUUUUUACGUCACUCUUAGCAAUACGUGUUUGAUGAUAAAGUAUCUCAAACUAUGGUAUUGAGUACACAUAUGUAAGGCUAGUUAUAGAUAAAAAACUUUGGAUUGGAGUGGAAUUUCAAAUUCUCCAAAAAUAUCAUAGUAUCUACUCAUUAUAUCAUGAGAAUAACCAUAUUUAAAGUAAAUGAAUAAAUAAAGGCAACCCAAUAAACUAUGCAUCAUGUUGGAUAUUUUGUUUGCUUGUGCAUUCAAAUCAUAAUAACAAUAAUAGUAGAAAUAAAAUAAUGACUGGAGAUGUAGAAUUAAACCCUAAAUUGAAGUUAGGGUUUGAAAAUAAGAAAAAAGAGAGAAGAGAAAAAAAAGAAAGGAUAUAAAAAUAUAAAUAAUAUAUCUAAAAAUAUCUCCAAAUUGGUACUUAAUUUCAUAAAUAUAAUUUGUAAUUACUAAGCCACAAGGUUUGAAUUUAAAUUGGAAUUCAAAUUGAAUUUGGGAAUAAGGAAAAAUAAGAAAGGAAAAAAAAGAAAAGGUUAAAACGCUGCUUGGGCCGGCUUAACCUCAAAUUCAGCCCAUUUUCCCUUUAUCACCGCGCGGCCCAUCUUCGUUCCGCGAGCGCGCACCGCCUGGUGGGACCCACGACACAACCUGUUUUCCCCGCGCGCGCGGUUUCCAUUCUCGCUGGCGUGUGGGCCAUCCCGGCCGGCGACAGUGGUUCGCGCGCAAGACCACCGGUCACUGUGCUGCAGGCCCUACCUUGUUAGCUCUCUCUCCCUCAACAAACUCCCCGAACUCGGCGGGAGUCCGCGCUAUAAUCGCGAAUCCGGCGACCACGACCCCUUUCCCCGACUCGUCCGUGUGGUGGAUAAAUGCCUCCCAGGGUCUCGGCCGCCGCGCAUUACUCCCUCUCCUGGCAGUUUCCGUGAACCGUGAAGGAGCGAACGGAGUGCCGUCAUGGCUGAAGCUCACGACCGCCGUCGUCGGGCUGACCCGAAUCGGCGUGGGAGCUUCGCCUCACCACCCUGAGGACAUCCGUAGUCUUGCCACACAAGUUUUGUGGUUAGCGAGGCGUGGAUUGCUCGUCGGAGGAUAGGGUCCGCCGUGCACUCGCACUCCUCCGUGGCCAACCCUCCUGUGCAUGCCAUCUUCGGUGAGUAUUCGCCCUCCAUGCUCGCGUGGUCGUCCGCUUCAUUUAAAACCAGUAGAAUCGGCAUGGGGCGCUCGGGUUUGCCGGAUUGGAGUUCGCCGGUGUUGCUUCGUCGCGUUCAGGGCGGCGCCGCCGUGCUUCGGUGAGGGAGGUAGAUGACUAGUUCUGGGUCGUGGAUGAUCAGAUGGACGGCUGUGAUUCUGCGCGCUUAAUGAUUCGCGAUGACGAAUUCGAACCGUCCGAUCUGAUCGGGCGGAUUAGAACGACUCAGGGGUAAUAAAAUCGGCGCCGUAGACUUCAGAUCCAAAGGUCGGCGUUGCGUACCGCUUCAUCACUUUUGCGGUUUGGUCCGAACCAUCAACUCGGGAUCGAACGGCGGUGAGCGCGCACCGAUUCAUAAUCUCGCCGAUCUAAUCAUAAUCGUUCAAUCGUGAUCUGGCGGCCAGAAACUAAAGAUACCCUUUUGACCAUGGCAAAAUUAUUAAAGAGUCCCUGGAUGUGUUAAUAAUUGACCCACAGUCCGCGCAGUGGCGCUCUGUGUCUCGGGUUUCUUACCCCGAGGUCCCUGUGCUUUCCAGAAAUGGAGGUCGAGUCCAGAGGAUUAGAAAAUCAGAGAAAUUAAAUUAGAAAUAGAUUUUUAAUAUUAAAUUAAUUGCAGAAACUUGUUUAAUUAAUAGAAAAUGCAUAUAAACUUCAAAUUGGUCCAUUUCAGUUCCUAAAUUUUUGUAAUAUUAUUUUCUAUCCAUUUGUGCCACUGUUUUGGCAUGAAAACACAUUAAAAUUCAUCUAGUACUUGAUCAUGUAUUAAAUACACAAAACAUUAGAAAUUUAUAACUUAAAAUCCAUAACUCCAAAAUUAAUAAUUCCAGUUCCUAUGAUCUUAUUGUAAUGUCUAGAUUAUUACUGUCUAUUUUAUUUACAUGUGUGGUGUAAUGUUAAUUUUUGCUAUGCUAUGUAUGUAUUGUGUUGAUGCGAGUAGACGAGCAAGCUAUAGAGGAUUCUGGGGUUCAGCUGGUAGAGACUGCUGAGCAGGAGCUCGUUGAAGGCAAGUUGUGCCCUUGAUCACUUCUUUUACCCAUUCAUGUUCUUAUUAAUCAUAAUGAUCUGCAUAGGAUAAUUUUGAUGGGACCCAAUAGGAUACCCUAGAUUUUGACUAUCUUUAUACCUUGUUCCACCCCUGGUUUUACUACUAAAGUUUUGGGUACUUCAUGCUAUCGCUUUAUGUGGAUUUGGGUAUAAAGAUAUUUAUCACUCAUUGUUAUACUUUUUAUUAUUUGUUUAUUAUUAUUCAUGAUAAGAUCAUUAUGUUACCACAAGGGUAUAAUGGGACGCCCUUGGCUGAUUAACUAGGAAAGCUAGUGGAUGACUACCUUACCCGAAAGGGGCAAGGACAGUAGGGGAGUGGUCAGUGUAGGGAGGUCCUUGGGUUGAUUUUGCUGCAAUGACGGUCAGGCGAGGGAUUCCUGCACUGGAGCUUCCUAUAAACUGUAGCGGGUUUUCUGAAGCUAGUGGAACUUUGUAAAGGCCUCGUAGUGGUACCCUACCUCGCUUCCUUGGUAGAGGUGUAUGGAGUCUGAUCAACUCCGUGGCAAAUGGGUAAUAUGACUUGUGGGUAAAGAUGCGCAACCUCUGCAGAGUGUAAAACUGGUAUACUAGCCGUGCUCACGGUCAUGAGCGGCUCGGACACUCACAUGAUUAAUUUAUGGAACUUAAACUUAAUUUGCCAUUUCAUUGCAUCUGGGAAUAUUUUAUUAUUACUUUUAUUUAUAUUUACUAUGGUUUGGUAUUUACUUACACUUAGUAACUGCUAAUAAAAUUUUGAUCAACUUAUAAAAGCAAUGCUCAGCUUCAGCCCUUAUUUUAUUGAUCAACCGUACACUUCAUGAACUCCCACCUUUGGUGAGUUCAUGCCACAUUAUUCCCCACAACUUGUUGAACGAUGAACAUGUGUGAGCUCACCCUUGUUGUCUCACACCCCCCACAGGAGAAGAACAGGUGGUAGAAGAGGAGUCGCCUAACACUGAGGCUUUUGGCUUGAUCUAGGUGGUGUCUCCCAGUCAGCUUUCUGGCGCCAAGGAUGGAUUUUAGAUCCUGCUAUAUUUAUUUCUUAUUUUGUAAGACUUCCGCUAUGUAAUAAAUACUCUGAUUAUAUUGUGACAUUUAUCUCUAUACACUCUAUUAUUAUAUAUGUUGUCUUCUUGGCGCAUGUAUGAGAUGCACAUGGCUUUGUUCCUUAAAGCUGGGUGUGACAGAAAUGGUAUCAAAGGAAAUGUUGACUGUAGGACGAAACCUAUAUAGAAAUGGACAAAACCCUUACCUACUUACCUUACUUUGAUUCUUUCUAUACUUAUCUUGAUCCUGUCUCACCUUCUACUGUUCUACUCUGAUCAUUCUUACCUUUUCUACUCUGAGACAAGAUGGAUUUCACACCUUGGAAUCCUACAUUUAUGACCUUCUGAAGAGAUAGGGAACCUAAGACGAAACUAAAAUUAUUUUCUCUAUUAAAAAUGUUGGUUGAUUGUUCUGAUGAUCAAUGCCUGAUUUGCUUCUUUGAUUGAUUGAAACAUUAUAGUUGGGUGUUGUCGGCGUUUCGAGACCGGGGGGUCCCUAAGCCGGCGAGUGAAAUGUCGCCGCGUGCCCCAGCCCAGAUGGGUCGGCGCGAGGCCGAGCGCGAAGGGGGGAAGUGAGGCGGCCGGAGACAGGCGUGAGAGAGGUGGAAAUCCCGCGGCCUUUGUGUUCGUCUCGCGCCCAGGUCGGGUGCGCUUGCAGUAGGGGGUUACAAGCGUCCACGCGGGAGAGGGAGCGAGCGGCCUCCCGCGAGCGCCUGUCUCGUCCUCAUCCCCGCGCGGCCAACCCUCUCUAAGAGGGCCCUGGUCCUUCCUUUUAUAGGCAUAAGGAGAGGAUCCAGGUGUACAAUGGGGGGUGUAGCAGAGUGCUACGUGUCUAGCGGGGGAGAGCUAGCGCCCUAAGUACAUGCCGUUGUGGCAGCCAGAGAGAUUUUGGCACCCAGCUUGGUGUGAUGUCGUGGCCGUCGGAGGAGCGCUGGAGCCCGGCGGAGGGACAACUGUCGGAGCUGUUGAGUCCUUGCUGACGUUCUCUUGCUUCCGUAUGGGGGCUGAGAGCCGCCGUCGUCACAGUGUAUGCGGGGCGCCAUCAUUGCCUAUCUGGUGGAGCGAGCCAGAUGGGACGCCGGUCUUGUUCCCUAUGGGCCGAGUCAGCUUGGGGUAGGGUGAUGAUGGCGCCUUCGGUUGACGUGGCUGGUCUGCGCCCUAGGUUGGGCGAUGUGGAAGCUCCUCCGAAGCCGAGGUUGAGUCUGUCUUCCGUGGCCGAGGUCGAGUCCGAGCCCCUGGGUCGGGCGAGGCGGAGGCCGUCGGCUGAGGCCAGGGCGGAGUCCGAGCCCUGGGGUCGGGCGAAGCGGAGCUCGUCGUCUUCUGGGGCCGAGCCCAAGUCCGAGCCCUAGGUCGGGCGGAGCGGAGUUCGUCGUCUUCCGGGACUUAGCCCGAGUCCGAGCCCUGGGUCGGGCGGAGCGGAGUUCGCCGUCUUCUGGGACUUAGCCCGAGUCCGAGCCCUGGGCCGGGCGGAGCGGAGUUCGCCGUCUUCCGGGACUUAGCCCGAGUCCGAGCCCUGGGUCGGGCGGAGCGGAGUUCGCCGUCUUCCGGGACUUAGCCCGAGUCCGAGCCCUGGGUCGGGCGGAGCGGAGUUCGCCGUCUUCCGGGACUUAGCCCGAGUCCGAGCCCUGGGUCGGGCGAAGCGGAGUUCACCAUCUUCCGGGACUUAGCCCGAGUCCGAGCCAUGGGUCGGGCGAAGCGGAGCUUCCUAUGGUGCCUUUGGCCGGGCCUGACUGCCUGUCAGCCUCACUCUGUCAAGUGGCACCGCAGUCGGAGCGGCGCAGGCGGCGCUGUCUUUCUGUCAGACCGGUCAGUGGAGCGGCGAAGUGACGGCGGUCACUUCGGCUCUGUUGGCUGAGGGGCGCGCGUCAGGAUAAAGGUGUCAGGCCACCUUUGCAUUAAAUGCUCCCGCGAUUUGGUCGGUCGGUGCGGCGAUUCGGUCAGGGUUGCUUCUUGGCGAAGACAGGGUCUCGGGCGAGCCGAAAAUAUGUUCGCCGCUGGAGGGGGGCCUCGGGCGAGACGGAGAUCUUCCGGGGUCAGCUGCCCUUGUCCGAGGCUAGGCUCGGGCGAGACGCGAUCGAGUCCCUCGAAUGGACUGAUCCCUGACUUAAUCGCACCCAUCAGGCCUUUGCAGCUUUAUGCUGAUGGGGGUUACCAGCUGAGAAUUAGGAGCCAUGAGGGUACCCCUAAUUAUGGUCCCCGACAGUAGCCCCCGAGCCUCGAAGGAAGUGUUAGCACUCGCUUGGAGGCUUUCGUCGCACUUUUUUGCAAGGGGACCAGCCUUUCUCGGUUGCGUUUUGUUCCGGUGGGUGCGCGCGAGCGCACCCGCCGGGUGUAGCCCCCGAGGCCUCGGAGGAGUGGUUUGACUCCUCCGAGGUCUUAAUGCCUUGCGCAAUGCUUCGGCUGGUCUGGUCGUUCCCUCAUGCGAGCUGGUCGUAGCCCGGGUGUACGGUCGGGUCCCAAGUUCUCGGGCUGGUAUGUUGACGCUGUCAACGGUUUGGCCGGAGCCAGGUUUGCGAGAGCAGCCCCCGAGCCUCUGCACAGGGCGAGAGGGCGAUCAGGGACAGACUCGACUUUUUUACAUACGCCCCUGCGUCGCCUUUCCGCAAGGAGGAGGGGGGAGAACACCAAGUUGCCCUCGGUGGGCGCCGAACAUGGUGUCUCCGGUGAGCUGCAGGCGGGUAAUCCGAGUGGACGUCCGUGCCCCGUUCGUUAGGGGUCGGCUAGGGGCCCGGAGGCGCGCCCAAAAGUACCUGCGGGUGAUCUGCCGGACCCGGUCCCCUGGCGACGGGGUCCGAGGGCUCGAUGCCUCCCUCUGAUGGGAUUCCGUUACAAGAUCGUUCCCGCUGGUCUCGGAAAUGUCCUAGGGUACCUCGGGAGCGUAGCCCGAGCCUUGGUUAUGUAUCGAACGUACCCAUGGUCAUCCCUCGCUCUGUGUCUGAGGCGGCUGUGAACCCUUCGGGGGCCAGCCUUCGAACCCCUGAUCAGUAGUGGGCGCGAAGCCCGAGUAGCCUGAGGCGGCCGUUGAACCCUUCCGAGGGGCCGGCCUUCGAACCUCUGACCAGUAGUGGGUGUGGAGCCCACGCGCUCUGAGGCGGCUGUUGAACCCUUCCGAGGGGCCAGCCUUCGAACCUCUGAUCAGUAGGGGGGCUCGGAGCCUGGUUCCUUCACGGGGAAGGAUCCUUUUCGGGGUAUCCCCCUUUCCCGGUCCCUGUUGCAAGAGAGAUAAAGGGGAAAAAGGAAAAGGAUACGAAAUCGAACGACGCGGCGUACCUUUUUUGACGCGGUCAUUAUGGCGAAGGCGGAGCGUCGCUCGCUUCCCCUGCCAGAGACGCCGCCUGCCCCGCCGCGGAGUUAAUGCGACGGGGCGAGUGGUUCGCGGGGCGGCCGUUGCGCGUGCGCGAGCCGUUCGAGGAACGGAACACGGGCACGUUGUCUUCAUGCCGUGAGAGAGGGUUCUCUCGCUGCCUCCGGAUGGGACGUGAGCUUGGCUGACGACGUGACCGCUGCUCCUGCCCGCCUGCCACCGCCAUUACUGCCGGCCCAUUUUUAGCCGCAUUGAUCGUCGCGCCAGGCUGGCGCUGCUGGGUUGUGCGCUGGGUCACCUCGAGUCGCGGUAUUGGUUCCGCAGUCGAGGAGGCGCGGCGGUGGCGCAAGUGGCGGUGCAGCUGCAUGCACGAAGCAUUCGGCGCGCCGGUUGCAUGACGCGUGGGCCUAGGCCUCCAUGCCGGGCGUGUUGGGAGUCGGAGAAGUGCGCCCACUUGGCGCGGUUGCAUGCCGCCUGCAUGGCUGCCCGCCCUUUCGCCCGUUGGUCUAGGCAAAAGGUGAGAGCCGCUUGUAACCGCUGGGCGGUUGUACGCAUCGCGCAUGGCGGUUUGGCUUCUUCUGUUCUUGAGCCAGCUUGCAUGACGUGUGGGACCCAGCCCCCGCGCCGUAGGAGGAGGGCCUUGGAGCGUGUUGGAGAAGACUCAGCCCGCGAUGGCUGGGGACGCAAGUAAGGAAAGUCGCCUUUAAAAGGAGGGUGACCCCCUUAGAAGGCGACCAUGUCUUCGCGCCUCCUUAUGCAUCGUGUCUUUCCACCUUCCAAGCCCCCGUAUGGGGGAUACCCGCCGUCUUUCCGCCUCGUCGUUGGAGGAACGCAACUCCGUGGGAGUUGGUACCUUUCAGCCAUCGUUCGGCUUCAAGGAUUUUCAUCACACAGCCCGGUUGCACCCCUCCGCUGGUGGUCACCCAAAACGGUGACCUCCAGCCCCUGGAUGGGGAGAGGCAAGCCGGGCUGUGAUCUUGGUCCCGCCCUCAGCCUCGAGGAUGUUCGUCAUCCUUGCUGGGGCGGGGAGCGAGGCGAGCCGGGGCUCUACCUCCCGCGCGGGCUGGCGGUCGACCUCUUCUUCCAGCUUCUGGUGGUGGCAACCAUCCUCCAGCUCUGCGGAGGAGACGUCCUCCAGCCAUGCCGGGGAAGGCGAACUGUUGCUGCCCAGCUAGGAUGCAACAUUCCGCGCUCUUCCUCGCUUUCGAGGCGAGGACGGGAGCGAGGACCUGCCGGUGCGCUUUGGAGCGGCCCGCUCUUUGGCUUUAAUAGCUGGUUCGUGUCCCUUGAGCGGGAACGCGAACGAGAGCCCUCCGGCGGCCGCGUCCGUCCUGGGACCAUGGCUGCUGCUGCAGAGGUCGCUGGCGGGUCCCCCAGUGCUCGUCGCCCCGCAGGCUCCCCGGUGUGGAGGUUGUACAUACCCGCGGGGACGGAACCAGAGUUCCGUCUGUAAUGGCACUUCGAAUGCCAGUGUUUUUGUUCAUCGUGGCUGUCGAGGCCUGAACAUGUAUGUAAUUUCGGCACGGAGCCGUGUUUUUUCCUCAUUUUCGAGCAUUAAGACUCGCCUGUUGGUUGUCUGAACCGCUUCACCAAGCGUGAGUCGCCUCGUGUAAAGGUGACGAGCGAGGUAUCCGUAUCCCGGAGGCGUAGGAGUCCCUCGGCUCGGUCAGCCUUGUUGUCCGAGGCUUCCCUUGCUUAGUGAGAGGAACCCCUCGGCCGCUCUUCGAUGAGCCGAGGCCAGGGGUAGCGGUGUCAGCGUGAACAGAGGCAGAGUUGGCCCGAAAAGAAGACCUGGUCGGCCGGAGCCUGGCCGGGUUGUCCGUUAGCGGGACGGACGCCGGAAUUGACCUACCGAGGCCUCGAGUCGGGCUGAUGUCCACGGGGGACAGCCGACCGAGGCCUCGGGGUGACCAGCCGAGCCGCCUGCCCGAGCCGGAUUCUCGGAGAAGACCCUAGCGGCGAUGGCCCGGGCGUGGCGAUGACGUCGUCCUUCAGAGUGAAGAUCUUCGGACCACAUCGCCGUCCGAGGCUAGGUCGGACCUCGCCGAAGGUGUUGUCGACGCCGAGGGUGUGUUGGAUGUUCCAAGCGUCAAGAUCUAAGCCUGCAGGAUCGGAUCAUCUUGUAGCGCAUGUUUUCUAUGGCCGCCGAGGCCAAAACGCACCCUCGCCGUGUUGUAAAGCUGUGUCUCCUUUCCUCUUAUUUCGAGUAUCUGGACUUUUUUGUCGGUAACAGAAUUGUUUGUGCGAGCGAGAGUUGCUUCUCACGGAAGGUGAUGAGUGAGGUAUCCGUAUCCCGGAGGCGUAGGAGUCCCUCGGCUCGGUCGGCCUUGCCGCUUACGCGCACUCUUACCCGUCCAUGGGGUUCUAUCACCGACGCAGCCGAGAAGGCUCGAAGAAUCGCUCCGGUAGAAGAGCUUCCGAGCGUGAAGACUUGUUCGGUCCGCGGAAUCACUUAUCCGAACGUGAGUUACUUAUCGCAGAAGGUGAUGAGUGAGGUAUCCGUAUCCCGGAGGCGUAGGAGUCCCUCGACUCGGUCAGCCUUGGCUGCUUACGUGUACUCCGUCGUUUUCAGGAUCCACUUUCGAAGUAGUCAAAAAGCACGAAAGACAUUCUGGCAGAAGGGAUCUUUUUUCGAGGACAAGAUUUGACGCAGAGGGGGUUCCCCCCUUUUAGCCACCGAGGGAGGGUCGGGCUUUGCCGAGGCGAGGCCGACCCUUCCUUGAUGACUAAACUUUGCGUGGGGGAGCGAGGUAUAUGAACAACUUGAAAACAUCUUAAGGGUAGAAGCGAUGUAGCUGUUGGAUGUUCCAAGCGUUGCCGUAGACCUCGCCUUGACUGUUGGCCAGCUUGUACUUUCCGGGCUUUAGAACUUUGGCGAUGACAAACGGCCCCUCCCAGGAGGGCGUGAGCUUGUGCCGCCCUCGGGCAUCUUGUCGCAGCCGAAGCACCAGGUCGCCCACCUGGAGGUCUCGGGACCGGACCCCUCGGGCGUGGUAGCGUCGCAGGGACUGCUGGUACCGCGCCGAGUGUAGUAAGGCCCUGUCCCGAGCCUCUUCCAGCUGGUCCAGCGAGUCUUCUCGACUAGCUUGGUUGCUUUGGCUGGCAUAGGCCCUUGUCCUCGGGGAGCCGUAUUCUAAGUCCGUGGGCAAGAUGGCCUCGGCCCCAUAGACCAGAAAGAACGGCGUGAAGCCCGUGGCUCGGCUCGGCGUUGUCCUCAGACUCCAGACCACCGAGGGGAGUUCCUUCAUCCAUCGCUUGCCGAACUUGUUGAGGUCGUUGUAGAUCCGAGGCUUGAGUCCUUGCAGAAUCAUGCCGUUGGCACGCUCUACUUGCCCCUUUGACAUGGGGUGAGCCACGACGGCCCAGUCCACCCGGAUGUGGUGAUCCUCGCAAAAGUCCAGGAACUUUCUGCCGGUGAACUGGGUGCCGUUGUCGGUUAUGAUGGAGUUCGGGACUCCAAAGCGAUGGAUGAUGUUGGUGAAGAAUGCCACCGCUUGCUCGGACCUGAUGCUAUUUAGGGGUCGGACCUCGAUCCACUUGGAGAAUUUGUCGAUGGCGACCAACAGGUGCGUGUAGCCCCCGGGUGCCUUCUGCAAGGGGCCGACGAGGUCCAGACCCCACACAGCAAAAGGCCAGGUGAUGGGUAUCGUCUGCAGAGCCUGAGCGGGCGGGUGGGUCUGCCUUGCGUAGAAUUGACACCCUUCGCAGGUGCGGACAAUUCUAGUGGCGUCGGCCACCGCCGUGGGCCAGUAGAAACCUUGUCGGAAAGCAUUUCCGACAAGGGCUCGAGGUGCUGCGUGAUGGCCGCAAGCCCCCGAGUGUAUCUCUCGAAGGAGUUCCUGACCUUCGGUGAUGGAGAUGCAUCGCUGGAGGAUGCCUGAGGGGCUGCGGUGGUAGAGCUCCUUCUCAUGUCCCAGCAAGACGAACGACUUGGCGCGCCGCGCCACCCGCCGAGCUUCGGCUCGGUCGGAGGGUAGCUCUCCUCGGUGGAGAUAUUGCAGGUACGGGGUCUGCCAGUUUUGAUCAGGCGUGACCCCGCUUUGCUCCCCCUCGACACGCAGCGUCUCGCCCUCGGGGGCCGAGGGUACCUCAGGCCGAACCGAGGGUGCCUCGGGCCGAGCCUAGGGUGCCUCGGGCUGUGCCGAGGGUACCUCGGGCUAGGCCGAGGGUGCCUCAGGCUCGGGCGUGUCGUCGAUCUUGACGGAGGGUCGAUGCGGGUCUCGGGAGAAGACGUCCGGGGGAACCGUUGUUCGCCCCGAGGCUAUUUUGGCCAGCUCGUCCGCAGUCUCGUUGUAGCGCCGAGCGAUGUGGUUGAGCUCGAGCCCGUAGAACUUGUCUUCCAGGCGCCGAACCUCAUCGCAGUAGGCCUCCAUCUUCGGGUCGCGACAGUGGGAGUUCUUCAUGACUUGGUCGAUGACGAGCUGCGAGUCACCGCGAGCGUCGAGGCGUCGGACCCCUAGCUCGAUGGCGAUUUGCAACCCGUUGACCAGAGCCUCAUACUCGGCCACAUUGUUAGACGCCGGGAAAUGGAGGCGUAGCACAUAGCGUAGGUGCUUCCCGAGGGGCAAGAUGAAGAGUAGGCCUGCGCCGACUCCAGUCUUCAUCAACGACCCGUCGAAGAACAUGGUCCAGAGCUCCAGUUGGAUCGGAGCCGUUGGUAGCUGGGUGUCGACCCAUUCGGCCACGAAGUCUGCUAGGACCUGGGACUUGAUGGCCUUCCGAGGGGCGAACGAAAUUGCUUCGCCCAUGAUUUCCACCGCCCACUUUGCAAUCCUACCCGAGGCCUCUCGGCACUGGAUGAUCUCCCCCAGGGGGAAGGAUGACACCACAGUUACCGGAUGAGACUCGAAGUAGUGUCGCAACUUCCGCCGUGUCAGGAUCACCGCAUACAACAGCUUCUGAACUUGUGGGUAGCGGAUCUUGGUUUCGGACAGUACCUCGCUGACGAAGUAGACUGGCCACUGAAUGGGCAAUGCAUGCCCCUCCUCUUGCCUCUCAACCACAAUCGCGGCGCUAACCACCUGAGUGGUCGCGACGACGUAGACCAAGAGGGCUUCUCCGGCAGCUGGGGGCACCAAGAUAGGCGCCUUCGUGAGGAGCGCCUUCAGGUUCCCGAGGGCUUCCUCGGCCUCAGGGGUCCAAGUGAAGCACUCGGCCUUCCUCAAGAGGCGGUACAGAGGUAGGCCUCUUUCGCCGAGGCGUGAGAUGAAGCGGCUCAAAGCCGCGAGACAUCCCAUGACCCUCUGUACGCCUUUCAAGUCCUUGAUGGGCCCCAUGCUGGUGAUGGCUGCGAUCUUCUCCGGGUUGGCUUCGAUACCCCGCUCGGAGACGAUGAACCCCAAGAGCAUGCCUCGGGGCACCCCGAAGACACACUUCUCGGGAUUGAGCUUGACGCCUUUCGCCUUGAGACAUCGGAAUGUCACUUCAAGGUCGGAAAGGAGGUCAGAGGCUUUCCUCGUCUUGACUACGAUGUCAUCGACGUAGGCCUCGACCGUGCGACCAAUGUGUUCGCCGAACACAUGGUUCAUGCACCGCUGGUACGUCGCGCCCGCAUUCCUCAAGCCGAACGACAUGGUGACAUAGCAGUACAUGCCGAAGGGUGUGAUGAAAGAAGUCGCGAGCUGGUCGGACUCUUUCAUCCUGAUUUGGUGAUACCCUGAGUAGGCAUCGAGGAAAGACAGGGUUUCGCACCCAGCAGUGGAAUCCACGAUUUGAUCGAUGCGAGGCAGAGGGUAGGGAACCUUCAGACAUGCCUUGUUUAGACCAGUGUAGUCUACACACAUCCGCCAUUUCCCCCCUUUCUUUUUCACAAGCACAGGGUUGGCAAGCCAUUCGGGAUGGAAUACCUCUUUGAUGAACCCUGCCGCCAUCAGCUUGUGGAUCUCCUCGCCUAUGGCUCUGCGCUUCUCCUCGUCGAAUCGGCGCAGAGGCUGCUUGACGGGUCGGGCUCCGGCUCGAAUGUCCAGCGAGUGCUCGGCGACAUCCCUCGGUAUGUCGGGCAUGUCCGAGGGACUCCACGCGAAGACGUCGGCGUUCGCGCGGAGAAAGUCGACGAGCACUGCUUCCUAUUUGGGAUCGAGCCCGGAGCCGAUCCAGAUCUGCUUGGAGGCGUCGCUGCUGGGGUCGAGGGGGACGGCCUUAACCGUCUCCGCUGGCUCAAAGUUGCCGGCAUGACGCUUCACGUCUGGCACCUCCUUGGAGAGGCUCUCCAGGUCGGCGAUGAGGGCCUCGGACUCGGCGAGGGCCUCGGCGUACUCCACGCACUCCACGCACUCCACGUUGCAUUCGAACGCGUGUUUGUACGUGGGGCCGACGGUGAUGACCCCGUUGGGGCCCGACAUCUUGAGCUUCAGGUAGGUGUAGUUGGGGACGGCCAUGAACUUCGCGUAGCAAGGUCUUCCCAGUACCGCGUGGUAGGUUCCUCGGAACCCGACCACCUCGAACGUCAGGGUCUCCCUUCGGAAGUUGGAGGGUGUUCCGAAGCAGACGGGAAGGUCGAGUUGUCCGAGGGGCUAGACGCGCUUCCCGGGAAUGAUCCCAUGGAAGGGCGCAGCGCCUGCCCGGACGGAGGACAGAUCGACACGCAGGAGCCCGAGGGUCUCGGCGUAGAUGAUGUUGAGGCUGCUGCCUCCGUCCAUGAGGACCUUGGUGAGCCUGACGUCGCCGAUGACGGGGUCGACGACGAGCGGGUAUUUCCCCGGGCUCGGCACAUGGUCGGGGUGGUCGGCUUGGUCGAAGGUGAUGGGCUUGUCGGACCAGUCUAGGUAGACUGGCGCCGCCACCUUCACCGAACAGACCUCCCGGCGCUCUUGCUUGCGGUGCCGAGUCGAGGCGUUCGCCGCUUGCCCACCGUAGAUCAUGAAGCAGUCGCGGACCUCGGGGAACUCUCCUGCCUGGUGAUCUUCCUUCUUGUCGUCGUCGCGGGCCCUGCCACCCUCCGCGGGUGGCCCGGCCCUGUGGAAGUGGCGCCGAAGCAUGACACACUCCUCAAGGGUGUGCUUGACGGCCCCCUGGUGAUAGGGGCACGACUCCUUGAGCAUCUUGUCGAAGAGGUUGGCACCUCCGGGGGGUUUCCGAGGGUUCUUGUACUCGGCAGCGGCAACAAGGUCCGCGUCGGUGGCGUCGCGUUUCGCUUGCGACUUCUUCUUGCCCUUCUUCUUGGCGCCGCGCUGAGUUGACGCCUCGGGGGCAUCUUCCGAUGGGCGGCCCUGGGGCUGCUUGUCCUUCCGGAAGAUAGCCUCGACCGCCUCCUGGCCGGAGGCGAACUUGGUGGCGAUGUCCAUCAGCUUGCUCGCCCUGGUGGGGGUCUUGCGACCCAACUUGCUCACCAGGUCGCGGCAGGUGGUGCCAGCGAGGAACGCGCCGAUGACAUCCGAGUCGGUGAUGUUGGGCAGCUCGGUGCGCUGCUUCGAGAAUCGCCGGAUGUAGUCCCGGAGAGACUCUCCCUGCUGCUGUCGGCAGCUUCGGAGGUCCCAGGAAUUCCCGGGGCGCACGUACGUGCCCUAGAAAUUGCCGGCGAAAGCUUGGACCAGGUCGUCCCAGUUGGAGAUCUGCCCCGGAGGCAGGUGCUCCAACCAGGCGCGAGCGGUGUCAGAGAGGAACAGGGGGAGGUUGCGGAUGAUGAGGUUGUCAUCGUCCGUUCCACCCAGUUGGCAGGCCAGACGGUAGUCCACGAGCCACAGUUCCGAUCUCGUAUCCCCCGAGUACUUUGUGAUAGUAGUCGGGGGUCGGAACCGGGUCGGGAACGGCGCCCGUCGUAUGGCCCGGCUGAAGGCCUGCGGACCGGGUGGUUCGGGCGAAGGACUCCGAUCCUCCCCGCUGUCGUAGCGUCCCCCACGCCUGGGGUGGUAGCCUCGGCGCACCCUCUCGUCGAGGUGGGCCCGACGGUCGCGGUGAUUGUGCUCGUUGCCGAGGCGACCCGGGGCCGCAGGCGCUGUGUUGCGCGUGCGCCCGGUGUAGAUCGAGGCUUCCCGCAUGAAUCGGGAAGUCGCGGCAUGAGGUUCCGAGGGGUACCCCUGCCUUCGGGAGGCAGAGCUCUCGGCCCGUCGGACCGCGGCGCCUUCCAGGAGAUUCUUGAGCUCUCCCUGGAUUCACCGCCCCUCGGUGGUUGAUGGCUCCGGCAUCGCGCGGAGGAGCAUUGCUGCUGCAGCCAGGUUCUGGCCGACCCCACUGGUCCUUCCUUUUAUAGGCGUAAGGAGAGGAUCCAGGUGUACAAUGGGGGGUGUAGCAGAGUGCUACGUGUCUAGCGGGGGAGAGCUAGCGCCCUAAGUACAUGCUGUUGUGGCAGCCAGAGAGAUUUUGGCACCCAGCUUGGUGUGAUGUCGUGGCCGUCGGAGGAGCGCUGGAGCCCGGCGGAGGGACAACUGUCGAAGCUGUUGAGUCCUUGCUGACGUCCUCUUGCUUCCGUAUGGGGGCUGAGAGCCGCCGUCGUCACAGUGUAUGCGGGGUGCCAUCAUUGCCUAUCUGGUGGAGCGAGCCAGAUGGGACGCCGGUCUUGUUCCCUAUGGCCCGAGUCAGCUUGGGGUAGGGUGAUGAUGGCGCCUCCGGUUGACGUGGCUGGUCUGCGCCCUAGGUUGGGCGAUGUGGAAGCUCCUCCGAAGCCGAGGUUGAGUCUAUCUUCCGUGGCCGAGGUCGAGUCUGAGCCCCUGGGUCGGGCGAGGCGGAGGCCGGCGGCUGAGGCCAGGGCGGAGUCCGAGCCCUGGGGUCGGGCGAAGCGGAGCUCGUCGUCUUCUGGGGCCGAGCCUAAGUCCGAGACCUGGGUCGGGCGGAGCGGAGUUCGUCGUCUUCCGGGACUUAGCCCGAGUCCGAGCCCUGGGUGAGGGGCACGGGUCAGGAUAAAGGUGUCAGGCCACCUUUGCAUUAAAUGCUCCUAUGAUUUGGUCGGUCGGUGCGGCGAUUCGGUCAGGGUUGCUUCUUGGCGAAGACAGGGCCUCGGGCGAGUCGAAAAUAUGUUCGCCGCUGGAGGGGCCCUCGGGCGAGACGAAGAUCUUCCGGGGUCGGCUGCCCUUGUCCGAGGCUAGGCUCGGGCGAGACGCGAUCGAGUCCCUCGAAUGGACUGAUCCCUGACUUAAUCGCACCCAUCAGGCCUUUGCAGCUUUAUGCUGAUGGGGGUUACCAGCUGAGAAUUAGGAGCCUUGAGGGUACCCCUAAUUAUGGUCCCCGACAGGCGUCUUAGCAUGUACCACCAUAAGGUAAUGUAUUAGCUUUAGUGGAUAACACACUAAUAUACUUAGCUAAUAAAUCCCCCGCGGUAACAUGCCUCGUAAUUACAUGUGAAAGUCGCCUAGAGGGGGGUGAAUAGGGCGAAACUGAAAAUUCUCAAAAAUAAUCACAACUACAAGCCGGGUUAGCGUUAGAAAUAUAAUCAAGUCCGCAAGAGAGGGUGCAAAACAAAUCGCAAGCAAAUAAUAGGUGUGACACGUGGAUUUGUUUUACCGAGGUUCGGUUCUUGCAAACCUACUCCCCGUUGAGGUGGUCACAAAGACCGGGUCUCUUUCAACCCUUUCCCUCUCUCAAACGGCCCCUCGGACCGAGUGAGCUUUCUCUUCUCAAUCACUUGGAACACAAAGUUCCUACAAGGACCACCACAAAAUUGGUGUCUCUUGCCUCAAUUACAAGUGAGUAUGAUCGCAAUAAAGAAUCAAGAAUGAAGAAAGCAAUCCAAGCGCAAGAGCUUGAAAGAACACAAGCAAAUCUCUCUCUCUAAGCACUAGGGCGUUGUGUGGAAUUUGGGAGAGGAUUUGAUCUCUUGAGUGUGUCUAGAAUUGAAUGCCUAGCUCUUGUAAUUGGUUGGAAGUGUGAAAACUUGGAUGCAAUGAAUGGUGGGUGGUUGGGGGUAUUUAUAGCCCCAACCACCAAACUAGCCGUUUGGUGGGGCUGACUGUCGUAUGGUGCACCGGACAGUCCGGUGCACACCGGACAUGUCCGGUGCGCCAGCCACGUCACCAAAGCUGUUGGGUUCCGACCGUUGGAGCUUUGUCUUCUGGGCCCGCCUGGAUGUCCGGUGGCGCACCGGACAUGCACUGUAGAGUGUCUGGUGCGCCAGUAUGGGCGUGCCUGACUUCUGCGCGCGCUGCGCGUGCAUUUAAUGCGCUGCAGGUAGCCGUUGGCGCCGAAGUAUCCGUUGCUUCGUUGUCACACCGGACAGUCCGGUGUACACCGGACAUGUCCGAUGAAUUAUAGCGGACUAGCCGUUGCGAAUUCCCGAAGCUGGCGAGUUCCUGAGGCGCCGUUCCUUGGAGCACCGGACACUGUCCGGUGUACACCGGACAGUCCGGUGAAUUAUAGUGGAGCGCCUCUGGCUUUUCCCGAAGGUGAUGAGUUUGAGUUGGAGUCUUCUGGUGCACCGGACAUUGUCCGGUGGCACACCGGACAGUCCGGUGCGCCAGACCAGAGGUGCCUUCGGUUGGCCCUUUGCUCUUUUGUUGAACCCAAUACUUGGUCUUUUUAUUGGCUAAGAGUGAACCUUUUACACCUGUAUAACUUAUGCACUAGAGCAAACUAGUUAGUCCAAUUAUUUGUGUUGGGCAAUUCAACCACCAAAAUCAUUUAGGAAAUAGGUGUAAGCCUUAUUCCCUUUCAAUCUCCCCCUUUUUGGUGAUUGAUGCCAACACAAACCAAAGCAAGUAUAGAAAUGCAUAUUUGAACUAGCUUGCGUAAUGUAAGUGCAAAGGUUGCUUUGAAUGGAGCCAAUAUAAAUACUUACAAGAUAUGCAUGGAUUGUUUCUUCAUUUUUAACAUUUUGGACCACGCUUGCACCACAUGUUUUGUUUUUGCAAAUUCUUUUGUAAAUCCUUUUCAAAGUUCUUUUGCAAAUAGUCAAAGGUAAAUGAAUAGGAUUUUGCAAAGCAUUUUCAAGAUUUGAAAUUUUCUCCCCCUGUUUCAAAAGCUUUUCCUUUGACUAAACAAAACUCCCCCUAAAUAAAAUUCUCCUCUUAGUGUUCAAGAGGGUUUUGAUAUAUCAAAUUUUGAAAUGCUACUUUCUCCCCCUUUUGAACACAAUAAGAUACCAAUGUUGAAUUUUUAUCAAUUGAGAAUCAUACCAAUUGAAAAACUCUUUUUAAAAUUAGGUGGUGGUGCGGUCCUUUUGCUUUGGGCUAUUACUCUCUCCCCCUUUGGCAUGAAUCGCCAAAAACGGAGUCAUUAGAGCCCUUCAAAUACUCUCUCCCCCUUUGGUCAUAAAUAAAUAAGUGAAGAUUAUACCAAAUACGAAGUCCUUUUGCUCUCUCCCCCAAAGAUGGAGAGUGGAGCGGAGCGACAGCAAAGGAUGAGUUACGGAGUGGAAGCCUUUGUCUUCGCCGAAGACUCAAAUUCCCUUUCAAUAUACCUAUGACUUGGUUUGAAAUAGACUUGAAAAACACUUUAGUCAUAGCAUAUGAAAGAGACAUGAUCAAAGGUAUAUAAAUGAGCUAUGUGUGCAAUUCAACAAAAGAAGUUCCUAGAAUCAAGAAUAUUUAGCUCAUGCCUAAGUUUGUUAAAAGUUUGUUCAUCAAGUGGCUUGGUAAAGAUAUCGGCUAAUUGAUCUUUAGUAUUAAUGUAAGAAAUCUCGAUAUCUCCCUUUUGUUGGUGAUCCCUUAAAAAGUGAUACCGAAUGACUAUGUGUUUAGUGCGGCUAUGCUCAACGGGAUUAUCCGCCAUGCGGAUUGCACUCUCAUUAUCACAUAGAAGAGGGACUUUGGUUAAUUUGUAACCGUAGUCUCUAAGGGUUUGCCUCAUCCAAAGUAGUUGCGCGCAACAAUGUCCUGCGGCAAUAUACUCGGCUUCGGCGGUAGAAAGAGCUACGGAAUUUUGCUUCUUUGAAGCCCAAGACACCAAGGAUCUUCCCAAGAACUGGCAAGUCCCCGAUGUGCUCUUUCUAUUAAUUUUACACCCCGCCCAAUCGGCAUCCGAAUAACCAAUUAAAUCAAAAGUGGAUCCCCUAGGAUACCAAAGCCCAAACUUAGGAGUAUAAACCAAAUAUCUCAAGAUUCGUUUUAUGGCCGUAAGGUGAGCUUCCUUAGGGUCGGCUUGGAAUCUUGCACACAUGCAUACGGAAAGCAUAAUGUCCGGUCGAGAUGCACAUAAAUAUAGCAAAGAACCUAUCAUCGACCGGUAUACCUUUUGAUCGACGGAUUUACCUCCCUCGUCAAGGUCGAGAUGCCCAUUGGUUCCCAUGGGUGUCUUGAUGGGUUUGGCAUCCUUCAUUCCAAACUUGCUUAGAAUAUCUUGAGUAUACUUCGUUUGGCUUAAGAAGGUGCCUUCUUGGAGAUGCUUCACUUGAAAUCCUAAGAAAUACUUCAACUCCCCCAUCAUGGACAUCUCGAACUUUUGUGUCAUGAUCCUACUGAAUUCUUCACAUGUAGACUCGUUAGUAGACCCAAAUAUAAUAUCAUCAACAUAAAUUUGGCAUACGAACAAGUCAUUUUCAAGAGUUUUAGUGAAUAAAGUAGGAUCGGCCUUUCCGACUUUGAAGCCAUUAGUGAUAAGAAAAUCUCUAAGGCAUUCAUACCAUGCUCUUGGGGCUUGCUUGAGCCCAUAAAGCGCCUUAGAGAGUUUAUAAACAUGAUUAGGGUACUCACUAUCUUCAAAGCCGGGAGGUUGCUCAACAUAGACCUCUUCCUUGAUUGGUCCAUUGAGGAAGGCACUUUUCACGUCCAUUUGAUAAAGCUUAAAGCCAUGGUAAGUAGCAUAGGCCAAUAAUAUGCGAAUUGACUCAAGCCUAGCUACGGGUGCAUAGGUUUCACCGAAAUCCAAACCUUCGACUUGGGAGUAUCCCUUGGCCACAAGUCGAGCUUUGUUCCUUGUCACCACACCAUGCUCGUCUUGCUUGUUGCGGAAGACCCAUUUGGUUCCUACAACAUUUUGAUUAGGACGUGGAACUAAAUGCCAUACCUCAUUCCUAGUGAAGUUGUUGAGCUCCUCUUGCAUUGCCACCACCCAAUCCGAAUCUUGAAGUGCUUCCUCUACCCUGUGUGGCUCAAUAGAGGAAAUAAAAGAGUAAUGCUCACAAAAAUGUGCAACACGAGACCUAGUGGUUACCCCCUUAUGAAAAAUGUCGCCGAGGAUGGUGUCGACGGGGUGGUCUCGUUGGAUUGCUUGGUGGACUCUUGGGUGUGGCGGCCUUUGUUCUUCAUCCUCCUUGUCUUGAUCAUUUGCAUCUCCCCCUUGAUCAUUGUCGUCAUCUUGAGGUGGCUCAUUUGCUUGAUCUUCUACUUCAUCAACUUGAGCUUCAUCCUCAUUUUGAGUUGGUGGAGAUGCUUGUGUGGAGGAGGAUGGUUGAUCUUGUGCAUUUGGAGACUCUUCGGAUUCCUUAGGACACACAUCCCCAAUGGACAUGUGCCUAAGUGCGAUGCACGGAGCCUCUUCAAUACCUGUCUCAUCAAGAUCAACAUGCUCUACUUGAGAGCCGUUAGUCUCAUCAAACACAACGUCACAAGAAACUUCAACUUGUCCAGAGGACUUGUUAAAGACUCUAUAUGCCCUUGUGUUUGAAUCAUAUCCUAGUAAAAAGCCUUCUACAGUCUUAGGAGCAAACUUAGAUUUUCUACCUCUUUUAACAAGUAUAAAGCAUUUGCUACCAAAGACUCUAAAAUAUGAAAUAUUAGGCUUUUUACUGGUUAGGAGUUCAUACGAUGUCUUCUUGAGGAUUCGGUGAAGAUAUAACCGGUUGAUGGCGUAGCAAGCGGUGUUGACCGCCUCGGCCCAAAACCGAUCCGAAGUCUUGUACUCAUCAAGCAUGGUUCUUGCCAUGUCCAAUAGAGUUCUAUUCUUCCUCUCCUCUACACCAUUUUGUUGUGGGGUGUAGGGAGAAGAGAACUCAUGCUUGAUGCCCUCCUCCUCAAGGAAGCCUUCAAUUUGAGAGUUCUUGAACUCCAUCCCGUUGUCGCUUCUUAUUUUCUUGAUCCUUAAGCCGAACUCAUUUUGAGCCCGUCUCAAGAAUCCCUUUAAGGUCUCUUGGGUUUGAGAUUUUUCCUGCAAAAAGAACACCCAAGUGAAGCGAGAAUAAUCAUCCACAAUUACUAGACAGUACUUACUCCCGUCGAUGCUUAUGUAAGCGAUCGGGCCGAAUAGGUCCAUGUGUAGGAGCUCCAGUGGCCUGUCGGUCGUCAUGAUGUUCUUGUGUGGAUGAUGGGCACCAACUUGCUUUCCUGCUUGGCAUGCGCUACAAAUCCUGUCUUUCUCAAAAUGAACAUUUGUUAAUCCUAAAAUGUGUUCUCCCUUUAGAAGCUUGUGAAGAUUCUUCAUCCCAACAUGUGCUAGUCGGCGAUGCCAGAGCCAGCCCAUGUUGGUCUUAGCAAUUAAGCAAGUGUCGAGUUCAGCUCUAUCAAAAUCUACCAAGUAUAGCUGACCCUCUAACACUCCCUUAAACGCUAUUGAAUCAUCACUUCUUCUAAAGACAGUGACACCUACAUCAGUAAAGAGACAGUUGUAGCCCAUUUUGCAUAAUUGAGAUACAGAAAGCAAAUUGUAAUCUAAUGAAUCUACAAGAAAAACAUUGGAAAUAGAAUGGUCAGGAGAUAUAGCAAUUUUACCCAAUCCUUUGACCAAACCUUGGUUUCCAUCCCCGAAUGUGAUCGCUCGUUGGGGAUCCUUGUUUUUCUCAUAGGAGGAGAACAUCUUCUUCUCCCCUGUCAUGUGGUUUGUGCACCCGCUGUCGAUAAUCCAACUUGAGCCCCCGGAUGCAUAAACCUACAAAACAAGUUUAGUUCUUGACUUUAGGUACCCAAACGGUUUUGGGUCCUUUGGCAUUAGAAACAAGAACUUUGGGAACCCAAACACAAGUUUUGGAGCUCUUGUGUUUGCCCCCAACAUACUUGGCAACGACCUUGCCGGAUUUGUUAGUCAAAACAUAUGAUGCAUCAAAAGUUUUGAAUGAAAUGUCAUGAUUAUUUUAUGCAAUAGGAGUUUUCUUCUUAGGCAACUUAGCACGGGUUGGUUGCCUAGAACUAGAUGUCUCACCCUUAUACAUAAAAGCAUGAUUUGGACCAGAGUGAGACUUCCUAGAGUGAAUUCUCCUAAUCUUGCUCUCAGGAUAACCGGCAGGGUACAAAAUGUAACCCUCAUUAUCCUGAGGCAUGGGAGCCUUGCCCUUAACAAAGUUAGACAAUCUUUUAGGAGGGGCAUUAAGUUUGACAUUGUCUUCCCUUUGGAAGCCAAUGCCAUCCUUGAUGCCAGGGCGUCUCCCAUUAUAAAGCAUACUACGAGCAAAUUUAAAUUUUUCAUUCUCUAAGUUAUGCUCGGCAAUUUUAGCAUCUAAUUUUGCUAUAUGAUCAUUUUGUUGUUUAAUUAAAGCCAUGUGAUCAUGAAUAGCAUUAAUAUCAACAUCUCUACAUCUAGUACAAAUAGAUACAUGCUCAACGAUAGAUGUAGAGGGUUUGCAAGAUUUUAAUUCUAUAACCUUAGCAUGUAAUAUGUCAUUUUCACUUCUAAGGUUAGAAAUAGUAACAUUGCAAACAUCAAAAUCUUUAGCCUUAGCAAGCAAUUUCUCAUUUUCAAUCCUAAGGCUAGCAAUAGAAACAUUCAACUCAUCAAUCCUAGCAAGUAAAUCAACAUUAUCAUCUCUAGGAUUGGAAGUUGAAACAUUACAAACAUGAGAAUCAACCUUAGCAAUUAAUUUGGCAUUUUCAUUUCUAAGGUUGGCAAUAAUGUCAUGGCAUGUGCUUAGCUCACUAGUUAAUUUCUCACAUUUUUCUACCUCUAGAGCAUAAGCAUUCUUAACCUUAACAUGUUUUUUAUUUUCCUUGAUUAGGAAGUCCUCUUGGGAGUCCAAGAGAUCAUCCUUCUCAUGGAUGGCACUAAUUAGUUCAUUUAGUUUUUCUUUUUGUUCCAUGUUAAGGUUGGCAAAAAGGGUACACAAAUUAUCUUCCUCAUCACUAGCAUUAUCAUCACUAGAAGACUCAUAUCUAGUGGAGGAUUUAGAUUUAACCUUCUUCUUCUUGUCGUCCUUUGCCAUGAGGCACUUGUGGCCGACGUUGGGGAAGAGAAGUCCCUUGGUGACGGCGAUGUUGGCGGCGUCCUCGUCGUCGGAUGAGUCGCUAGAGCUUUUGUCGGAGUCCCACUCCUGACAAACAUGGGCAUCACCGCCCUUCUUCUUGUAGUAUCUCUUCUUCUCCUUUCUUCUCCCCUUCUUGUCAUCGCCCCUGUCACUGUCACUAGAAAUUGGACAUUUAGCUAUAAAGUGACCGGUAGGCCUGGGCAUUCGGUUCUUCGGUUCGGUUCGGUUCGGUUCCUCGGUUCUUGUAGAAAUUCGGUUCUUCAAAAACUAGAACCGAAAUAGCAAGAUAAAGAAAUCAGAACCGACUAGUUCGGUUCUCGGUUCUUCGGUUCGGUUCCUCGGUUCUAACCGAACUGUAACAGCUACUCUUAAAUUAUGAAUAACGACAACUUUUGUGAGAAAUUUCAGCAACAUCUCCCCACAAACAACGACAAGUGCACAAUGACUAUAAUUUCAUAGAUAAUACAUGGAUGAUUAGAGGUUCAACAUAAGUCGAUAACACAACAUCCGAAGUUACAAACACAUGUAACAAAUUGAAUCUAAUACUUUUGGGUUUUUCGGUUCUUUCGGUUCUUUGGAGUGCAGAACCGAAAAUAUCUCAUUUAUUUCGGUUCUCAAAAAACCAGAACCGAAUUUCAUAACGGUUCCUUCGGUUCGGUUAGUUCGGUUCCGGUUCUCGGUUAUUUCGGUUCGGUUCCUCGGUUCCGGUUCUUUUUGCCCAGGCCUAGUGACCGGGCUUACCACAUUUGUAGCAAACCUUCUUGGAGCGGGGCUUAUAAUCCUUCCCCCUCCUUUGCUUGAGGAUUUGCCGAAAGCUUUUGAUGACAAGCGCCAUCUCCUCGUUGUCGAGCUUUGAGGCGUCGAUUGGUUGUCUACUCGGUGUAGACUCCUCCUUCUUCUCCUCCGUCGCCUUAAAUGCGACCGGUUGUGCCGCGGAUGUGGAGGGAUCAUCUAGUUCGUUGAUCUUCUUCGAGCCCUUGAUCAUAUACUCAAAGCUCACAAAAUUCCCGAUUACUUCCUCGGGAGUCAUUAGUGUAUAUCUUGGAUUACCACGAAUUAAUUGUACUUGAGUAGGGUUAAGGAAAAUAAGUGAUCUUAGAAUAACCUUAACCACCUCGUGGUCAUCCCAUUUCUUGCUCCCGAGGUUGCACACUUGAUUCACCAAGGUUUUGAGCCGGUUGUACAUAUCUUGUGGCUCCUCCCCUUGGCGAAGACGGAAGCGACCGAGCUCCCCCUCGAUCGUUUCCCGCUUUGUGAUCUUGGUGAGUUCAUCACCCUCGUGCGCGGUCUUGAGUAAGUCCCCAAUCUCCUUCGCACUCUUCAACCCUUGCACCUUGUUAUAUUCCUCUCUACUUAGAGAGGCGAGGAGUAUGGUUGUGGCUUGGGAGUUGAAGUGCUCGAUUUGGGCCACUUCAUCCACAUCAUAGUCUUCAUCCCCUACGGAUGGUACCUGUGCACCAAACUCAACAACAUCCCAUAUACUUUUGUGGAGUGAGGUUAGAUGAAAUCACAUUAAAUCACUCCACCUAGCAUAAUCUUCACCAUCAAAUGUUGGUGGUUUGCCUAAUGGGAAGGAAAGUAAAGGUGUAUGUUUAGGAAUGCGAGGAUAGCGUAGGGGGAUCUUACUAUACUUCUUACGCUCUUGGCGCUUUGAAGUGACGGAUGCCGCGUCAGAGCUAGAGGUGGAUGUCGAUGAAGAAUCGGUCUCAUAGUAGACCACCUUCCUCAUCCUCUUUUUCUUGUCCCCACUCCGAUGCGGCUUGUGGGAAGAGGAUUUCUUCUUCUCUUUGUUGUGUGAAGAAGAUUUCUUCUCCUUCCCUUUGGAGGAGCCUUUCUUCUCCUCCUUUCUCUUGGUGCGGGACUCUUCCGAUGAAGUGCUCCCGUGGCUUGUAGUGGGCUUUUCGCCGGUCUCCAUCUCCUUCUUGGCGUGAUCUCCCGACAUCACUUCGAGCGGUUAGGCUCUAAUGAAGCACCGGGCUCUGAUACCAAUUGAAAGUCGCCUAGAGGGGGGUGAAUAGGGCGAAACUGAAAAUUCUCAAAAAUAAUCACAACUACAAGCCGGGUUAGCGUUAGAAAUAUAAUCAAGUCCGUAAGAGAGGGUGCAAAACAAAUCGCAAGCAAAUAAGAGGUGUGACACGCGGAUUUGUUUUACCGAGGUUCGGUUCUUGCAAACCUACUCCCCGUUGAGGUGGUCACAAAGACCGGGUCUCUUUCAACCCUUUCCCUUUCUCAAACGGUCCCUCGGACCGAGUGAGCUUUCUCUUCUCAAUCACUUGGAACACAAAGUUCCUACAAGGACCACCACAAAAUUGGUGUCUCUUGCCUCAGUUACAAGUGAGUAUGAUCGCAAUAAAGAAUCAAGAAGGAAGAAAGCAAUCCAAGCGCAAGAGCUUGAAAGAACACAAGCAAAUCUCUCUCUCUAAGCACUAGGGCGUUGUGUGGAAUUUGGGAGAGGAUUUGAUCUCUUGAGUGUGUCUAGAAUUGAAUGCCUAGCUCUUGUAAUUGGUUGGAAGUGUGAAAACUUGGAUGCAAUGAAUGGUGGGUGGUUGGGGGUAUUUAUAGCCCCAACCACCAAACUAGCUGUUUGGUGGGGCUGACUGUCGUAUGGUGCACUGGACAGUCCGGUGCACACCGGACAUGUCCGGUGCGCCAGCCACGUCACCAAAGCCGUUGGGUUCCGACCGUUGGAGCUCUGUCUUCUGGGCCCGCCUGGAUGUCCGGUGGCGCACCGGACAUGUACUGUAGAGUGUCCGGUGCGCCAGUAUGGGCGUGCCUGACUUCUGCGCGCGCUGCGCGCGCAUUUAAUGCGCUGCAGGUAGCCGUUGGCGCCAAAGCAUCUGUUGCUUCGUUGUCACACCGGACAGUCCGGUGUACACCGGACAUGUCCGGUGAAUUAUAGCGGACUAGCCGUUGCGAAUUCCCGAAGCUGGCGAGUUCCUGAGGCGCCGUUCCUUGGAGCACCGGACACUGUCCGGUGAAUUAUAGUGGAGCGCCUCUGGCUUUUCCCGAAGGUGAUGAGUUUGAGUUGGAGUCUUCUGGUGCACUGGACAUUGUCCGGUGGCACACCGGACAGUCCGGUGCGCCAGACCAGAGGUGCCUUCGGUUGGCCCUUUGCUCUUUUGUUGAACCCAAUACUUGGUCUUUUUAUUGGCUAAGAGUGAACCUUUUACACCUGUAUAACUUAUGCACUAGAGCAAACUAGUUAGUCCAAUUAUUUGUGUUGGGCAAUUCAACCACCAAAAUCAUUUAGGAAAUAGGUGUAAGCCUUAUUCCCUUUCAACACGCCUUGUCUACAAUUCUUUCUUUCUUACCCUGUGUUUCUAACCCAGAUGGGCUACCCCUAUAGUGUUAGAAGAGAGCACUAUAGACGUGAUCCUUGGUAUGUCGUGGUUAAGAAAGGUAAAGGCAGUUUAUACACUGUGCUAAAGGAACCAUAGAACUCACCAGUUCCAAAGGAGAAAGAUUUGAAGUUGGAAUUGCAGUAACUACCGCCAUCAAACUAGCGUCAUUCUUAGUCGAUGGGAAGUUUGCUGGUGACAACGUCCGUGUGGUUAAGGAUUUUUUGGAUGUCUUUCCAGAGGAGUCACCAGGGAUGCCACUAGAUAGGGAAGUUGAGUUUGUCAUAGAUCUCUUACCUGGGACUACUCUUACUUCCAAACGGUCAUACGAGAUGUCCGUAGAAGAUUUAAAAGAACUUAAGAAUAAGUUAACAGAGUUGCAAGAGGUUGGGUACAUUUGACCGAGUUCCUCACCUUGGGGAGCACCAGUACUGUUUGUACAGAAGAAGGAUGGAUCACAGCGGAUGUGUGUGGACUAUAGAUCACUUAAUGAUGUUAAUGUGAAGAACAAGUAUCCAUUACCCCGUAUUGAGGAUUUGUUUGAUCAGAUGAGAGGAGCCAGGGUAUUCUCGAAGAUUGAUCUCCGAUCGGGAUACCAUCAUAUGAAGAUUAGACCAUCAGAUAUUCCUAAGACGACUUUCUCAACCCGAUAUGGAUUAUAUGAGUUUACUGUUAUGUCAUUUGGAUUAACCAAUACACCAUCUUAUUUUAUGAAUUUGAUGAAUAAGGUGUUUAUGGAGUAUUUGGACAGAUUCGUCGUAGUAUUUAUCGAUGAUAUUCUUAUCUAUUCUAAUAGUGAAAGUGAGCAUGAGGAACAUUUGAGAUUGGUGCUACAGAAGCUACGAGAUAAUCAACUCUACGCCAAGUUCAGUAAAUGCGAGUUUUAGAUUGACAAGGUGCGAGUAAAUGCGAGUUUAUUUCUUGGACAUAUCAUUUCUAAUGGAGGAAUUUCAGUGGAUCCUGCUAAAGUUAAGGAGAUAAUGGCGUGGAGCAUACCCACUACAGUUACUGAGGUUCGGAGUUUUUUGGGACUUGCAGGAUAUUAUCGAAGAUUUAUUGAAGGACUUUCUAAGAUUGCUAAGCCUAUGACCUCACUUCUGGAGAAGGGAAGAGAGUUUAAGUUGGACGAGAAGUGCCAAGAUAGCUUUGAUCAAUUAAAGAAGAGAUUGAUGUCACCACCAGUAUUGGUUAUGCCAGAUCUACAUAAAGGAUUUGACAUUUAUUGUGACGCAUGUGGCCAAGGAUUGUGAUGUGUGCUCAUGCAAGAAGGACAUGUGAUCGCCUAUGCGUCUCGUCAGUUGCGGAAACAUGAAUUGAAUUACCCCACUCAUGACUUAGAACUGGCAGCAGUUGUGCAUGCACUUAAGAUUUGGAGACACUACAUCAUGGGAACUAAGUGCCAAGUAUACACGGAUCAUAAGAGUUUGAAGUAUAUAUUCACUCAGAAGGAUCUCAACCUUAGGCAACGCUGUUGGUUGGAGCUCAUUAAGGAUUAUGAUUUGGAGAUUCACUAUCAUCCAGGCAAGGCGAAUUUGGUUGCAGAUGCCUUGAGUCGGAAGGAGCAUGUUCACUCCGCUUUUGUUGUCCAGCUACCCGAUGAAUUAGCAAAAGAUUUUGAGAAGCUCAACCUGGGAAUUGUUACACAUACGGAAGAAGUCACCAUUGAAUUGGAACCUACCUUGGAGCAAGAGAUUCGUAAAGGUCAGGUUGGUGAUGCUAAAAAUUCAAGAGAUUAAGGAUCUUAUUAUGGAAGGUCGAGUUCCGGAAUUCACGGAGGAUGAGCAAGGUACUAUAUGGUUCAAGGAUCGGAUAUGUGUUCCUGAGAUUGAUAGCCUUCGUGAGACUAUACUGAAGUAAGCCCAUGACUCAGAUUAUUCUAUUCAUCCUGGGAGUACCAAGAUGUAUCAGGAUUUGAAGCAGAAGUACUGGUGGUAUGAACUGAAGAGAGAUGUGGAUGCACAUGUGGCUAUGUGCGAUGUGUGUCAAAGAAUUAAGGCUGAACACCAAAGACCAGCUGGACUAUUAUACCCAUUAAAGAUACCCGAAUGGAAGUGGGAAGAGAUUGGUAUGGACUUCAUUACUGGAUUGCCUCGCACCUCGAAAGGAUAUGAUUCUAUAUGGGUUAUUGUGGAUAGACUUACCAAAGUGGCUCAUUUCAUUCCGGUAAAGACUACUUAUAAGGGAUCUUAAUUGGCAGAGUUAUAUUUGCUCGGAUUGUGUCUCUACACGGUGUACCGAAGAAGAUCAUUUCAGAUAGAGGAUCACAGUUUACCUUAAGAUUUUGGAAAUUUUCAUGAGAAUAUGGAUACGAAGUUGAAAUUUAGUUCGGCCUACCAUCCUCAGACUGAUGGACAGACUGAAAGGACUAAUCAAGUAUUGGAGGACAUGUUGAGAGCUUGUGCCCUUCAGCAUGGUAGUAGUUGGGACAAGAGUCUACCUUAUGCUGAGUUCCCAUAUAAUUAAAGUUACCAGGCCAGUCUGAAGAUGUCACCAUUUGAGACUCUAUAUGGCAGGAAGUGUAGGACUCCUCUAUAUUAGGACCAGACUAGAGGAAGAUAGUUCUUUAGACCUGAACUUAUUCAAGAGGCAGAAGAACAAGUCUGUAUAAUCAGGGAGAACUUGAGGGUAGCUCAGACUAGGCAAAAGAGCUACGCUGAUAAUAGAAGACCACUGGAGUUUGAGGAAGGUGAUCAUGUGUACCUCAAGGUGUCACCACUUUGUGGAAUGAGGAGAUUUAAAGUCAAGGGCAAAUUGUCCCCUCGCUUUAUUGGACCAUUCAGAGUUUUUAGGCGAGUUGGAGAGAUGGCCUAUCAACUCGAGCUACCUGAUAAUCGAUGUGCAUAAUGUUUUCCAUGUAUCUCAGCUGAAGAAAUGUCUCCGGGUACCUAAAGAGCAGCUACCAAUGGAGGACCUUAGUGUUCAAGAUGACCUGACUUAUGCUGAAUACCCUAUCAAGAUUCUGGACACUUUGACUCGAGUUAUAAGAAAUAAGGUGAUAAAGAUGUGCAAAGUACAAUGGAGUCACCAUGGAGAGGAUGACGCUACUUGGGAAAGAGAAGAAGAGCUUUGCAUAGAUUUUCCCCAUCUUUUCUCUAGUUCUUCCUAAAUCUCGAGGGCGAGAUUCUUUUUAAGGGGGGUAGGAUUUGUAAUACCCAAAUUAUAAAAUAGAUGAUCUUGUUACAUGUUCGGCCAUCUACUCAUUAUAUCAUGAGAAUAACCAUAUUUAAAGUAAAUGAAUAAAUAAAGGCAACCCAAUAAGCUAUGCAUCAUGUUGGAUAUUUUGUUUGCUUGUGCAUUCAAAUCAUAAUAACAAUAAUAGUAGAAAUAAAAUAAUGACUGGAGAUGUAGAAUUAAACCCUAAAUUGAAGUUAGGGUUUGAAAAUAAGAAAAAAAGAGAAGAGAAAAAAAGAAAGGAUAUAAAAAUAUAAAUAAUAUAUCUAAAAAUAUCUCCAAAUUGGUACUUAAUUUCAUAAAUAUAAUUUGUAAUUACUAAGCCACAAGGUUUGAAUUUAAAUUGGAAUUCAAAUUGAAUUUGGGAAUAAGGAAAAAUAAGAAAGGAAAAAAAAGAAAAGGUUAAAACGCUGCUUGGGCCGGCUUAACCUCAAAUUCAGCCCAUUUUCCCUUUAUCACCGCGUGGCCCAUCUUCCUUCCGCGGGCGCGCACCGCCUGGUGGGACCCACGACACAGCCUGUUUUCCCCCCGCGCGCGGUUUCCAUUCUCGCUGGCGUGUGGGCCAUCCCGGCCGGCGACAGUGGUUCGCGCGCAAGACCACCAGUCACUGUGCUGCGGGCCCUAGCUUGUCAGCUCUCUCUCCCUCAACAAACUCCCCGAACUCGGCGGGAGUCCGCGCUAUAAUCGCGAAUCCGGCGACCACGACCCCUUUCCCCGACUCGUCCGUGUGGUGGAUAAAUGCCUCCCAGGGUCUCGGCCGCCGCGCAUUACUCCCUCUCCUAGCAGUUUCCGUGAACCGUGAAGGAGCGAACGGAGUGCCGCCGUGGCUGAAGCUCGCGACCGCCGUCGUUGGGCUGACCCGAAUCGGCGUGGGAGCUUCGCCUCACCACCCUGAGGACAUCCGUAGUCUUGCCACACAAGUUUUAUGGUCAGCGAGGCGUGGAUUGCUCGUCGGAGGAUAGGCUCCGCCGUGCACUCGCACUCCUCCGUGGCCAACCCUCCUGUGCGUGCCAUCUUCGGUGAGUAUUCGCCCUCCAUGCUCGUGUGGUCGUCCGCUUCAUUUAAAACCAGUAGAAUCGGCAUGGGGCGCUCGGGUUUGUCGGAUUGGAGUUCACCGGUGUCGCUACGUCGCGUUCAGGGCGGCGCCACCGUGCUUCGGUGAGGGAGGUAGAUGACUAGUUCUGGGUCGUGGAUGAUCAGAUGGACGGCUGUGAUUCUGCGCGCUUAAUGAUUCGCGGUGACGAAUUCGAACUGUCUGAUCUGAUCGGGCGGAUUAGAACGACUCGGGGGUAAUAAAAUCGGCGCCGUAGACUUCAGAUCCACAGGUCGGCGUUGCGUACCGCUUCAUCACUUUUGCGGUUUGGUCCGAACCAUCAACUCGGGAUCGAACGGCGAUGAGCGCACACCGAUUCAUAAUCUCGCCGAUCUAAUCAUAAUCGUUCAAUCGUGAUCUAGCGGCCAGAAACUAAAGAUACCCUUUUGACCCUGGCAAAAUUAUUAAAGAGUCCCUGGAUGUGUUAAUAAUUGACCCGCAGUCCGCGCAGUGGCGCUCUGUGUCUCGGGUUUCUUACCCCGAGGUCCCUGUGCUUUCCAGAAAUCGAGGCCCAGUCCAGAGGAUUAGAAAAUCAGAGAAAUUAAAUUAGAAAUAGAUUUUUAAUAUUAAAUUAAUUGCAGAAACUUGUUUAAUUCAUAGAAAAUGCAUAUAAACUCCAAAUUGGUCCAUUUCAGUUCCUAAAUUUUUGUAAUAUUAUUGUCUAUCCAUUUGUGCCACUGUUUUGGCAUGAAAAACACAUUAAAUUCAUCUAGUACUUGAUCAUGUAUUAAAUACACAAAACAUUAGAAAUUCAUAACUUAAAUUCCAUAACUCCAAAAUUAAUAAUUCCAGUUCCUAUGAUCUUAUUGUAAUGUCUAGAUUAUUACUGUCUAUUUUAUUUACAUGUUUGGUGUAAUGUUAAUUUUUGCUAUGCUAUGUAUAUAUUGUGUUGAUGCGAGUAGACGAGCAAGCUAUAGAGGAUUCUGGGGUUCAGCUGGUAGAGACUGCUGAGCAGGAGCUCGUUGAAGGCAAGUUGUGCCCUUGAUCACUUCUUUUACCCAUUCAUGUUCUUAUUAAUCAUAAUGAUCUGCAUAGGAUAAUUUUGAUGGGACCCAAUAGGAUACCCUAGAUUUUGACUAUCUUUAUACCUUGUUCCACCCCUGGUUUUACUACUAAAGUUUUGGGUAGUUCAUGCUAUCGCCUUAUGUGGAUUUGGGUAUAAAGAUAUUUAUCACUCAUUGUUAUACUUUUUAUUAUUUGUUUAUUAUUAUUCAUGAUAAGAUCAUUAUGUUAAUGGGAACAUGGAGAACCACCCGGGAAAACAGUGCUACCACAAGGGUAUAAUGGGACGCCCUUGGCUGAUUAACUAGGAAAGCUAGUGGAUGACUACCUUACCCGAAAGGGGCAAGGGCAGUAGGGGAGUGGUCAAUGUAGGGAGGUCCUUGGGUUGAUUUUGCUGCGAUGGCGGUCAGGCGGGGGAUUCCUGCACUGGAGCUUCCUAUAAACUGUAGCGGGUUUUCUGAAGCUAGUGGAACUCUGUAAAAGCCUCGUAGUGGUACCCUGCCUCGCUUCCUUGGUAGAGGUGUAUGGAGUCUGAUCAACUCCAUGGCAAAUGGGUAACACGACUUGUGGGUAAAGAUGCGCAACCUCUGCAGAGUGUAAAACUGGUAUACUAGUCGUGCUCACGGUCACGAGCGGCUCGGACACUCACAUGAUUAAUUUAUGGAACUUAAACUUAAUUUGCCAUUUCAUUGCAUCUGGGAAUAUUUUAUUAUUACUUUUAUUUAUAUUUACUAUGGUUUGGUAUUUACUUACACUUAGUAACUGCUAAUAAAAUUUUGACCAACUUAUAAAAGCAAUGCUCAGCUUAAGCCUUUAUUUUAUUGACCAGCCGUACACUUAAUGAACUCCCACCUUUGGUGAGUUCAUGCCACAUUAUUCCCCACAACUUGUUGAACGAUGAACAUGUGUGAGCUCACCCUUAUUGUCUCACACCCCCACAGGAGAAGAACAGGUGGUAGAAGAGGAGUCGCCUAACACUGAGGCUUUUGGCUUGAUUUAGGUGGCGUCUUCCAGUCAGCUUUCUAGCGCCAAGGAUGGAUUUUAGAUCCUGCUAUAUUUAUUUCUUAUUUUGUAAGACUUCCGCUAUGUAAUAAAUACUCUGAUUAUAUUGUGACAUUUAUCUCUAUACACUCUGUUAUUAUAUAUGUUGUCUUGUUGGCGCAUGUAUGAGAUGCACAUGACUUUGUUCCUUAGAGCCGGGUGUAACAUAUAGACCUAGGCACGAGAGAGCUGACAAAAGUGUUCGUAUAUUACUAUAAUUUUUAUUUGUACUUAAAUAUAUAAUAUAAAAUAUAAAGGUAUAUGUGUUCUGUUAGCUUAGUCGAAGAUGUGUUUAAAGUCAACUAUGAUGGUCAAUGGUCUUAGGCAUACUUUUUAUUUUUACUGUUUAACGCUGGUAACUAGGCAAAGCAACGUACGGCUGCGAUACGUGUCGCGCACCCAGGGUGUGACGGGGACAUCGGCAGCCGACCGGUGGCACGCCAAUUCCGGAAGCUUCUCCCACCGCCACCGGAGCCCCACACGCCCCUCGUCCUCGGAUCCCAUCCCGUCGCGGUCGCCGCACUAGUUCGACGUACAGAAGCGAAGGUCUCGACGAAUCCGUGACGCCGACGUGGGUUUGCCUCUGUACUUCUGGAAUCGGAAAGAGGUGUGUCGUGCGGUGCGUGUCCAAUUCUAACCCCUUCCUAUCGACCAUCAUUCUCCCCUCUGCCUGCGUCGUCCUCGCCGCCAUGGACCUUGCGGACGGGCGAGACGACGCCCUCAAUGGAGGCGUCGGCGUCGGCGUCGGCGUGGAGGAGACAAGGAGGAGGAGGAAGGUGGAGCUGGUGCAGGAGGCCAUCCGUGGCUUCCUGGAGGAGAAGAGGAGCGAUGGCCAGGGAGGAGGAGAGGAGCGCUUGACGGCCAGGCUCAGGGAGGAGGAGCAGGAGCUCCUGUUGUCGUUGCUCUCCAAGGUACGUUCCUCGUGUGUCUGGAACCAGGAUUGCUGCUGAUGCUCUCCGCUCCUGCACGCCGUUCGUUCCCUACCGGAUGUAGUCCAGCUAACGCCGGCCGGAGAGAGAUGAUGAUUCGGUUUUGGACGUGUCACAGAAUCGACACUUCACCGAUUGAACAAUUAAGCGAGAACCGGAUAAUCUUCUGGGGCAAGAACCAAAAAUGAACCUCUUUAGUUUCAACCAAUGUAUCAGCCAUGCCUGAUUUCUAUCAUUUCUUUGUCUGACGCUAGCAAAAUGAACCUCUGGCCACAUAGUAGAGACCUUUAGUGACAUGAUUGUAUCAAUUCUAUAUGGUGCUCAGUCCAUUCCUACACUUGCUCCAUCCUUUCACGAUGCAGACGACGCUGAAAAGGACGUACUGACACCGUUUCCUCUUGGCAGUUGGGCGAGCUAAAAACCGACCCCGAUCCAGACAUCUUGGAAGAACCGAGCUCCUCCCGCCCGGACCACGGCCACCAGCCUGCAGGAGGAGGCGAACGCAGCAAGGAGGUGGAGCCAGCUGACAUCGCCAAGGACCUGAGCAAGAUCAAGAGGCAGAACACGAUCACCCACCUCCUCCUCGGCGCCGUCAUCGUCCUGACCGCCGUGUGGCAGGUCAACGAGGUGUCGUUCCUCCUCUGGCUGCAGAGCAAGCUGAGCAACCCCUUCAAGUCCCUCGGGGACAUGGUCAAGGCCUCCCUCCUCAAGCUUAGAGGGAGGAGGCCGGUGCUCGAGUCGUCGCCGCUGCCGCUGGCCGGCGUCCCCGACGUCAGCCGGGCUGAUCUGCCGACGUUUGUCAUCGGCGGCACCGAGCACGUAGGUAAAUGAGCUAGCUGUGUGGUGAUCCGAGGAUUGAUUAAAAUGUCCAGCAUCUGUUUGUUGCGAAUAAUUUAUGAACUGGGAUUGAUUCUUGAAUUAUGAACUGACACACCAACAUUUCCGGGAGGCAUAUAAUGCCUGGGAGCCAAGUAUUUCUAGAUUCUCUUAUACUGGCUCGUAAGAUUCAAACAGUUUGUGAAGUGUCAACCGUACGAUAGUAUCGAUGCUAUGAUUUUGAGGUGGCGAGUGAUCGCUUCAGUUUGGCGAUCUUUGAACAAGAGGGCCACAUCAUCUUAUGGAUGAUUAGUGCUCAUACCACGCCAUAUUUAGCUCGGCGUAAUGUGUAAUUGCAGAACAGUAACUUGAUCAUUCUAGGCCAGAGAAGCAUAAUUGUCCUGGUUCCAUCUCCAACACGAAAUGCAUCGUGUUCAUCAGUGCACCUGUGCACGAUACAUUCCAUACCGUUUGAAGGCGGUGUUGGUGACCAAAAUUUGUCCAACAAAACUGCAGUGUGCCCCCCCCCCCCCCACCAAAAAAAAUCGGGUAAGCUAAAGGCCGCACUCAAAGUAGAACCAGCAGCUGCAUACAACAAGGCCGGGCCGAUGCUUCAGGGCAACAUCGAGGAUCCAGCAAUGACAAUGACCUGCAGUGAUUUUGCAGUUAGCCACAUAUUGGUAAUCUCGUAUUGAAUCACAAAAUAAUUGAGAUACAGACAUUUCAGUAGUAGACAACGGCACCUUAUCAGUAUCACUAAAGGCCCAAUUAUUACCAGAUAUCUUGAUGGCCAUGGCGAUGUAACUCAUUUCUCUUCUCUUUUUCCCUUUUGCAAUUCUUUUGCCAGAUGAACAUAAUAAUGAUAACAAAAAAGUACAAUAUAUUAAAGUCUCUCAUAAACGACCAAGUUUUGCCAGACCGGCGCUAAAGCCUGUUCGCUGCGGCUUUAAUCCAUCGGCUUGUGUUUUUUUAUAGCAGCAGUUUUGGCUUUCACCAUCUUCCUAAUUGUCUGCAAGGGUACGCUUGGGUAUACUGAUGUACAGAACUGCAUAUUCAGAAGACUGCUACAAGAAUUUGCCCGACAUAGAUCUCAGAAUAUUCACAUCAUAUAAUCCGCACCACCAUUUCCUCUUAUGAAGGCAUCACCUUCUUCUUUCUUCAGCUGACCAUUGACGUAUUCUUCAGUUUGCUGCAUCGCAAUGUUCAUGUAUCCAUCAAGACAAGCCAGAAUACCUGAUUUGGGUCAGGGAAACUCCACUAGUGUGGUUGACCAAGCAAUUGGUUUAGCAAAAUCGUUUUUCGUUUAUUCAUACAACAGAAAUAGAAAGUGAAAUCUUUUCGCACGAAUCAGAGAAUCGGAUCAGAAUGAAAGUGAAAUCUCGAAGUAUAACACUACCAAUGUGGCUUAUCCUUGAAGAAACGCUAGAAAAUAUAGCCCUUGCCCCUUAAGGACUGCAUACGCAAUUUUGGCUUGGCUCAUCCAAGGCCACAAACCAAACAGUCAAUACUCUAAUGAAAAACAAACCGGAACUGUAACUACAGAAAACCACACCUAUCUGACCAUCUAAAAUGACAACUUUCACAGGAAUAUCUCACCUCUCCAGUUUCCCCUAAAUCAUAAUCCUUGUUAGAGCACCACAUAAAUUACCUUUGAAGUCAUGACACAAUCUAUGGCUUUAAGGAUAUAGGGCAUUACACGUUACGGUUCAAACCUCUCUAACUACCAGGGUGCUGGUUUCUAGUUGUGCUCAGGUUUAGCACGACCGCCAGCGAACGCCCCUCUUUAAUCUCUCUUGUUGGUACUUCUUGUCCUCUGAUGUUGUUACACAACGACAAUCAUGCUGGUAAAUUUGUUGCUCUUUUCCCACUUCUCAAGCUCUAUAUUGUAGGUUCUUAGUGCAUCAGCAGAUGCAUUUGCAGCGGGUGAUCUAUGAUGCUGACAGCACAGGACAGGACACAGCUAUAUGCAUAACCAAACACCAGGCUUAAAACCCUACAAGGGAUUUGUUCAAAAGUCAAAUCUACAUGUGAUUCCUAGGGUUAGUUUAAUGUAUGGAUCUGAUUAGCCACGUUGAAAUCACUUGAGCUAGAUCAAAAUUCUCAUGGGAAUCACAAUAUCAUAUUCUACCCCGGUUGCCUCGCUCCAUCAAAUCAAGCACAAGUCAUCAUUAUAAGGAACAACAGUAUACAAAAUCUGCCCCAUUGUUCUAGAUCACCUAUCAACAUCCCAGCUAAAAACAGUAAAAAGGGGGAAAACGUGGGUGAGUUGAGUCUGUCUUGUGGAAAAAACGUUUUAGUUUCUCCUGGAAUUAACAAUAAAAACAGUUGAACAAGAUUGACUGUUCCUCCGGGAGGGUUUGGAACAUCGUUACAGAUGUGAGCGAAAGGUGAGGAAACAGAGCGGAGGGCUUGGAGGUGACCUCGGUAGUCGACGCCGGAGUUGAGCUUGAUGACGACACCGUACUGGCGUACCAGGCCUAGUAGUGAACACCGGGCCUGAAGCUGUCGCCGCCGCUGCUCAUCUUGUGGGCUGUGCCCGGUGUCCCUGUUGCGGAUUGCGGGUGGCAGCCUGGCAGGUGGGUGCGACCCGUUUGGACUCCCUGAUCUGGGCCCUUUGUGUCAGUACCGUCUGUACUCCGAUGACAUGCACACCGUCGUCCACAGUCAAGUCCACAAUCUCCCCUCUUUUUUUAACGGAAUAGUUCAAAAUCUCCUUGACGCACGCUAUCGUGUACCAGCGCUCACUGGACACCACGUUUGUAAUCCACGCCGACACGUCGGUCCCACGUCGACAGGCCCCACCGUCCGGUCUGUAGCGUGUACGUAUUCGGGCGACGGACGUGUCGUCGUCGUCUUGCGAGUCCCAUUCCCAUCACCAUCUGAGCCACACAUCCUCUGAACAAAAGCAGGGAGGCCUCUACGCACAUCCCCCUUUCUCCCACUCCGUGUCCGUGGCACCCACCCCAAACCCUCGCGCCGCCUCCGAGACAGCCGCCGCAACCAUGGCCACCGCCGCCGCCGCGUCUACCGCGCUCACUGGCGCCACUACCGCUGCGCCCAAGGCGAGGCGCCGGGCGCACCUCCUGGCCACCCGCCGCGCCCUCGCCGCGCCCAUCAGGUGCUCAGCGGCGUCACCCGCCAUGCCGAUGGCUCCCCCGGCCACCCCGCUCCGGCCGUGGGGCCCCACCGAUCCCCGCAAGGGCGCCGACAUCCUCGUCGAGUCCCUCGAGCGCUGCGGCGUCCGCGACGUCUUCGCCUACCCCGGCGGCGCGUCCAUGGAGAUCCACCAGGCACUCACCCGCUCCCCCGUCAUCGCCAACCACCUCUUCCGCCACGAGCAAGGGGAGGCCUUUGCGGCCUCCGGCUACGCGCGCUCCUCGGGCCGCGUCGGCGUCUGCAUCGCCACCUCCGGCCCCGGCGCCACCAACCUUGUCUCCGCGCUCGCCGACGCGCUGCUCGAUUCCGUCCCCAUGGUCGCCAUCACGGGACAGGUGCCGCGACGCAUGAUUGGCACCGACGCCUUCCAGGAGACGCCCAUCGUCGAGGUCACCCGCUCCAUCACCAAGCACAACUACCUGGUCCUCGACGUCGACGACAUCCCCCGCGUCGUGCAGGAGGCUUUCUUCCUCGCCUCCUCUGGUCGACCGGGGCCGGUGCUUGUCGACAUCCCCAAGGACAUCCAGCAGCAGAUGGCGGUGCCUGUCUGGGACAAGCCCAUGAGUCUGCCUGGGUACAUUGCGCGCCUUCCCAAGCCCCCUGCGACUGAGUUGCUUGAGCAGGUGCUGCGUCUUGUUGGUGAAUCCCGGCGCCCUGUUCUUUAUGUUGGCGGUGGCUGCGCAGCAUCUGGUGAGGAGUUGCGACGCUUUGUGGAGCUGACUGGAAUCCCGGUCACAACUACUCUUAUGGGCCUCGGCAACUUCCCCAGCGACGACCCACUGUCUCUGCGCAUGCUAGGUAUGCAUGGCACGGUGUAUGCAAAUUAUGCAGUGGAUAAGGCCGAUCUGUUGCUUGCACUUGGUGUGCGGUUUGAUGAUCGUGUGACAGGGAAGAUUGAGGCUUUUGCAAGCAGGGCUAAGAUUGUGCACGUUGAUAUUGAUCCGGCUGAGAUUGGCAAGAACAAGCAGCCACAUGUGUCCAUCUGUGCAGAUGUUAAGCUUGCUUUGCAGGGCAUGAAUGCUCUUCUUGAAGGAAGCACAUCAAAGAAGAGCUUUGACUUUGGCUCAUGGAACGAUGAGUUGGAUCAGCAGAAGAGGGAAUUCCCCCUUGGGUAUAAAACAUCUAAUGAGGAGAUCCAGCCACAAUAUGCUAUUCAGGUUCUUGAUGAGCUGACGAAAGGCGAGGCCAUCAUCGGCACAGGUGUUGGGCAGCACCAGAUGUGGGCGGCACAGUACUACACUUACAAGCGGCCAAGGCAGUGGUUGUCUUCAGCUGGUCUUGGGGCUAUGGGAUUUGGUUUGCCGGCUGCUGCUGGUGCUUCUGUGGCCAACCCAGGUGUUACUGUUGUUGACAUCGAUGGAGAUGGUAGCUUUCUCAUGAACGUUCAGGAGCUAGCUAUGAUCCGAAUUGAGAACCUCCCGGUGAAGGUCUUUGUGCUAAACAACCAGCACCUGGGGAUGGUGGUGCAGUGGGAGGACAGGUUCUAUAAGGCCAACAGAGCGCACACAUACUUGGGAAACCCAGAGAAUGAAAGUGAGAUAUAUCCAGAUUUCGUGACGAUCGCCAAAGGGUUCAACAUUCCAGCGGUCCGUGUGACAAAGAAGAACGAAGUCCGCGCAGCGAUAAAGAAGAUGCUCGAGACUCCAGGGCCGUACCUCUUGGAUAUAAUCGUCCCACACCAGGAGCAUGUGUUGCCUAUGAUCCCUAGUGGUGGGGCUUUCAAGGAUAUGAUCCUGGAUGGUGAUGGCAGGACUGUGUACUGAUCUAAAAUCCAGCAAGCAACUGAUCUAAAAUCCAGCAAGCACCGCCUCCCUGCUAGUACAAGGGUGAUAUGUUUUUAUCUGUGUGAUGUUCUCCUGUAUUCUAUCUUUUUUUGUAGGCCGUCAGCUAUCUGUUAUGGUAAUCCUAUGUAGCUUCCGACCUUGUAAUUGUGUAGUCUGUUGUUUUCCUUCUGGCAUGUGUCAUAAGAGAUCAUUUAAGUGCCUUUUGCUACAUAUAAAUAAGAUAAUAAGCACUGCUAUGCAGUGGUUCUGAAUUGGCUUCUGUUGCCAAAUUUAAGUGUCCAACUGGUCCUUGCUUUUGUUUUCGCUAUUUUUUUCCUUUUUUAGUUAUUAUUAUAUUGGUAAUUUCAACUCAACAUAUGAUGUAUGGAAUAAUGCUAGGGCUGCAAUUUCAAACUAUUUUACAAACCAGAAUGGCAUUUUCGUGGUUUGAGGGGAGUGAAAAAAAAUGAGGCAUUUGACUGAAUUAGUUACCUGAUCCAUUUUCGUGGUUUGGAUCAUUGGAAUUAAAUUCCAUUCUAAUAAUAGUAAUUUUGGCAUAUAUCAAUUAAGUUAAUUCGGUUUUAUGCAAAAUAUAUUUGUAUACUAUUAUUAUCAAGAUGUCGGAGAUAUUUAUAUGCUACAUUUUUACUAUACAGGAGUGAGAUGAAGAGUGUCAUGUAAGUUACACAGUAGAAACAAAUUCUAUUAAUGCAUAAAAUCAUUUCCAUCAUCCACCCUAUGAAUUUGAGAUAGACCUAUAUCUAAACUUUGAAAAGUGGUUGAAUAUCAAAUUCCAAAUUAAAUAAGUUAUUUUAUUGAGUGAAUUCUAAUUUCUCUAAAACGAAGGGAUCUAAACGCCCUCUAAAGCUAAUUUGGAAACUCAAACUUUCUUAGCAUUGGAGGGGAUUGAGAAAAAAUAUUAAUUCAUUUUCAUCUCAAUCAUUCAAUCUCCAAAGAGAUUUGAGUUCCUUAUUAGUCUGUUCCAUGCAUCAAAUCGGCUCAAUGUGUCAUUAUUUGCCAUGACGAUUGACGAGUUGUUCUGGGGCCUAGCGCUUUCCACGCCGAUGUGCUGGGGCCUGGUCCUGGAGAAGACAGCUUGAUAUUUAAAGCUAUCAAUUGUUUCAAUUGAUUCCCACUUCAUUUUUCUAAAUGUAGAAAACGGUGACGUAUAAGAAAAAGAAUGAAUUAGGACUUUUAUUCCGUACACUAAUCUAGACCUCUAAUUACUCUCUUAAACAUAGGCUAUGCAAAUAAAUAAAUACGAGAGUGCACUAGGGUUUUGUUGGACCCGUUUGUUUUGUUGGAAUUGAAUUCCAUUAUAAUAGUCAUAAUUUUAGACACAAACUAAGUUAAUAUAUUUAUAUAUUAUCCUCCUAAUAGUCAUAAUUUAGGCUCGUUAUGUGUUAUAUGGGACUGAGUGUUGGCCUGCUAAGAGACGACAUAUCCAACAACUAAGUGUCGCAGAGAUGCAUAUGUUGCGUUGGAUAUGUGGGCACACAAGAUUGGACCGAGUGAGAAACGAUGGCAUACACGAUUGACUAGGAAUAAAGCCAAUUGAAGAAAAGCUUAUUCAACACCGGUUGAGAUGGUUUGGGCAUGUCUACCGAAGACCCCCUAGAGGCACCGGUGCAUAGAGGCAUCAUAAGACAAGACAAUAAUGUGAAGUGAGGUAGAGGUCGACCAAACUUGACAUGGGAGGAUGCAAUCAAAAGGGGUUUCAAGGAAUGAAAUAUCUCAAUGGAGUUGUGUUUGGAAAGAAGCUUUUCCCUCCCCUUUCUCUUUCCCCUUUUGGUGACAUCUUGUUGGGUUUUCAACUCUAGCAGACAAUCAAAAGGGGUUUGAAGGAAUGAAAUAUCUCAAUGGAGUUGUGUUUGGAAAGAAGCUUUUCCCUCCCCUUUCUCUUUCCCCUUUUGGUGACAUCUUGUUGGGUUUUCAACUCUAGCCUACCCCAACUAGUUUGUGACUAAAAGGUUAUAUUGUUGAUGAUCCUAAAUCAUAUGAGAUAGAUAGUUAUACACUACACUUAUGCUAUAGAGAAGCAAGUAUAAGAGUGUGCUAUAAGUUGUACAUUAGAAAAAGUAGCAUGCAAAUCUAUAGAAUCAAUUUCCAUCUCUCACACCAUGAAUUUGAGGUAGGCUUAUAUAUAAACUUUAAAAAGUUGUGAAAUGUCACAUUUUAAAAAAAUAGCCUACUCCAUUAUUUAGAUUCUAAUUCCUCAAAAUGAAAGAAAACAAACAGGGCCUAAGUUUUGUUAUUUCUACCAUAAAUGAAGUUUAACAAACUAAGUUCCAAUCCUACCAACUAACCUAUAAGCUAAGUUAAGAAUAGUAAAACAACUUAAGUGAACAGUAAAUGCAGAAGCUUAAAUACAAGGUAGAGAUGUAAACUCCUGUUGGCGCACCGUCAAAGUUAUUUAGAUGUCACACCUGGAUUUAAGGAAAAAUCCAGGCGCACAUCAAAUGUGUGCUAGGAUCAAGUCUCACACAUAUGAUGACCAAUGGUACAGAAACGAAUGUAACAUCUUUACUACAUAAUAGAGUUAUGUACAAAAUAACUAAAUAAUUACAUCAUAUAAAGACAACGAUCCCCUGCAACCAUAGUUGACUGGGAGACGCCAACCUAGACCUCUCACGAACUCAUCGCGACAUCUUUCAUGCUCCUUAUCUUGUGGUACCUGUCCUUGACCUGGGAGAUGUGAGUACAGCAAGGGUGAGCUCACAUACGUUCAUCGCUCAACAACCUGUGGGGAAUAAUGUGCAUAAGCUCACUUACGAUGGGGCUCAUGUGAUGUGUAAGACUUACAAAAGAAGAUGGUUAAAGCUGAGCAUUGCUUUUAAAGUUGGUCAAAGUUUUAUUAGCAGUUACUAAGUAUGAGUAUAUAUCAUCCCAAAUAAAUAAGAGAUCAAAAUUAAUAAUAAAACUCACAAUGCAAUGCAAAUGACAGAUUAAAUUUAAUUUCAUAAAUUAAUCAUGUGAGGGUUCGAGCUGCUCAUGACCGUGAGCACGACUGAUAUAUCAGUUUUACACUCUAUAAAGGUUGCACAUCUUUACCCACAAGACGUAUUUCCUGUUUAGCCAAGGAUAGCUAGACCCUUAGACACUUCUAAGAUGAAUGGCUAGGGAUCCACUACGAGGCCUUUACAAAGUUCCACUCAAGAAGAGAACCCUCUACGGAUUCUAGCCUGAAGGAGAUGUAGAAAUCCCUCGUCUGAAAAGCUAAAAAUACAGUCCGACCCGAGGACCUCCCUACACCUGCAUAACUCCACCCGCUUGCCCCUUUCGAGAAAGGAUUAACUCACACUAGCUUUUCUAAUUAUUCAGUCAAGGGCAUCCCAUUCCAUCGUUGUGGUAGCACUGUUUUCCCGGAUGGUCGCUCCAUGUUCCAUUUAAUAUAAUAAUCUUAACAUGAACAAUAAUUAAACCAGCAAUAUUAAUGGAACAUGAUCAUAAUUCAAUAUAACAUUAAUCCCAAAACCAUGUAGAGCAAUAACGAGACUAACCAAUAGUUCAUUUAUUUGCAAUGUGUGGGGUAAACAAAACUAGGGAAACCUAUUAGGUCCUACCAAAUUAACCUGAGCAUGUCACAGUGAUUAACAGAGAACAUUAUUAGGUAAAGAAGAGUGAUCAAGGGCACAACUUACCUUUUUGGUGCAACUCCAGUACUUCUCCAACUUGGUCUUCAUAUUUCUUAUGACCUCGCUGCUACCGUAGGCAAAGAAUAUGUAAAAAUAACAUAACACCAAACAUAGAAAACAACUGUGUCAUAAUAUUGUACGCAUUGGUACGAUAUCAUAGGUUCGAGAACCACUAGAUUCGGAAUUAAAACAAAGAAGUUAUGGUUUUAUGAAGGUUAUGGAUUUAAACAAUUAGAACUAUGUUAUUUUGAUUAAUAUAAUUCUUGAGAAAAGGUAUUCCAAGAAAUAAUUAAUUAAAUCUUAAUCUAGGUUAUAACUUGAUUAGAUAUCAUAUUUUGUAAUCAUAGAAUCAAAAUACUACAUUUAAUUUGGAUUAGAAAGUUAACAUUGAUCAAGCAAAUCAUUUUUUUGAAAACAUGUGAAAAGAUAAAAUAGUGUUGUUAUUACGCAUGCAAUAUUACUACGAGGUUAAUGCAACUUGAAUGGACUGAAUUAAAGUAAAAACGUAACAGAUCUGAAAUUCACAAGUUUUAGGUUAAUUUUAAUAUAAAUUUUAUACUAAAAACACUCACCACAGACUUAUUUGCAAAGUCUGAGGACUUAACUGUUAUAGGUAUAUGCCCGUGCGUUGCUAUGAAAUCAAUAUAUAUAUCUAUAUAUUCCUACGACUAUCCUCUAUUCAUAUACAAUUAUAGUUGUUUUGUAAAUUAAAUUAUUCGAAAGGAAUCAAAGUUAAAAGAUAUGCUCGUUUUAGAAUUUGCAUGGUUGAUAGAGCUGACACAAUCAGAUAAGGACAUGAACACAUAUGAAAUUUUACCAGUUAUAUUUACUCAUACAUGGAAAAUUUAAAAUGGCAAAGAUGUCAUAUAUAGGAAGCAAAAAAACAAGAAACUACCAACAUACUCACUAUCGGAAACUUCACACAAACAACAUCAUACCCCAUACAUCAACUUUCCUUCUUCAACUCCACAUUCACUUCCAUUCUGCCAUGCUGGAACUAAGAAACACCUAGUGUAAAUCAGUAGCCUGUCACGCUUAGGACAAAAAAUGAUUAGGGGAAAAACAAUUCACAUUCACACUAUCAGUUCAGUGGCAUAGUACUAAGUACCCUAGUGCAAAAAUCAAGCUGAUAGGAAUACGAUCCCUACCACGGAUUGGCCUUAGGCUGUAUGAGUGCGAGGGGACUGGGCGAGGGAGGAAACGCCCACGGCUGUGUUUGGGCGCCAUGGAUGCUGGACGCAGGGAAAGAGGGAGAUGGGCUGCUGAAUAGAAGAACACACUGAUGAACAAUAGCGUGAUGAACAGUGGUGGCUAGGGUUUCUCCCAGCUCCCAGAGGGAAGCUGGAAACUAUAAUUGUUUCUGCUUAAUUCCAUAUAGGGUGGUGCUUACAAUUAUUUAUACUCCCUUCUAUUACUUAUCUAAUGAGAUCAAAUCCCUCUUUUCUCUCUAACAAAUCUUAUCUCCUUAAUCUUCUAAUCCUUAUCCAACUAAUCUGCAUGUCUAGAUCCUUAUCCAACUAAUUUGCAUGUCUAUCCGUCGCCUUUGCUGUUAUCCAGCGCCUGUAGUGGCGGCCGGUCAUAACAUCUCUCCCCGGAUGCGCAAACAGCUCGUCAUCGAGUUGGAAGUCGGGGUAGAGGCCCCAAAAGUCGUCGAGCGGCUCCCAUGUAGCUUCCUUCGGAGAUAGACCCUGCCAUUGCACCAAAAUGUGCCAUGUUCCACGCCGCUGUUGAGCACGCAACACCUUCAGCGGCGCCGAUAGUAGUCUGCCAUCCUGGACAGGGGGUAACCCCGCACGCUGCUCCGGCGGUUCACCCUUGUGGCGCUUGAGGAGGCCCACAUGAAAUACGUCGUGUAGGCGGGCUCCCUUUGGCAGCUCCAGCCGGUAUGCCACCUUGCCGAUGCGCUCCAGGACUCAGAACGGUCCAGCGUAGCGAGGGCCGAGCUUCCCUUUUGCGCGUGGCUCUAGGGACUGCACAGGCCGACGUAGAAGGCGCAGCCACACCCAAUCCCUGACAGCCAGCUCCAUGUCGCGAUGACCUGCGUCGUAGUACCGCUUGGACAGCUGCUGCGCCUGAACGAGGCACUGCCGAACCUUCGCAAGGAUGUCGUCCCGGUCGCACAACAACUCCUCCGCCGCUGUCAUCCGUGUGGACCCGGGCUGGUAUGGCAGGAUCGGCGGUGGGGGUGUCCGUACACCACCUCAAAUGGCGUGGCACAGAGGGCGGUGUGGAACGAGGUGUUGUAGCAGUACUCCACCCAAGAGAGCCAAUCCACCCAGGCCCGAGGCCGAUCACCUGUCACACAACGAAGGUACAUGGUAAUCACCUUGUUGACAACCUCAGACUGGCCAUCCGUCUGUGGAUGGAACGCCGUGCUAAUGCGGAGGGAGACGCCAGCGCACUUGAAGAGGUCACGCCAGACGUGUCCAGUAAACACAGGGUCCCGAUCGCUGACGAUGGAGGAGGGGAACCCGUGUAACCAGACGACGCCAUCGAAGAUGGCCUGGGCGACCGAUGCCGCCGUAUCCGAGCGGAAUGAAGUGGGCGUACUUAAAGAAGCGAUCGACCACCGUGAGGAUGACCGAUUUGCCGCCCACCUUAGGCAGCCCCUCGAUGAAGUCCAUGGAGAUGUCGGCCCACACCUGGGACGGCACCUGGAGGGGCUGCAGCAGCCCCGCCGGCUGCAGGGUCUCUGUCUUGUUCUGCUGGCACGUUGUGCACAUCCGCACCCAAUCAGCCACCAAGGUGCGGUCGCCAGGAACGUAGAACUCGACGCAGAGGCGAUGGAGGGUUUUCUGAA
rnacentral:lncRNA from 1 species